AAAUAGCUCUCUCCUUAUAAAAAAAGCGUCACGCUUAUAUUUUUAAAUUAAACACAGUAAUCAACUCGUGAUUUUAGUAUUUUUUUCUUUUUAUUAUCAUUAAAUCAUCGUGUUCAACAUAAAAAUACCAGGGUGAUACUCGAGUGGCGAAAAAAGUGUCAUCUAGAUAAAGAUAAGUUUAGUAGGGUUAUGUGUAAAAAAAUAUUUGAGAGGGCUAAAUGUAAAAAAAAAAAAAAUCUUUUCUCAUUUAAAUCUCCAACCUUAUAUUCUCCUAUUAUAAUUAACAAAACUAUUAUUAAACUCUAUACUAAAGUUGAAACCAAAUGUUGUUCCUUCGUUGAGCCACGUGGUCUUUCUUUUAUAUGGAUUUUCUCUCUCUCUCUCUCACAUGUUCUCUCUCCCUCACAUGGACUCACAUGGGCUAUGUUCAAGGGACAUGCACGUGCCUCUUUGUACCUUCUCUCUACAAUUAAAAAUUGGGCUUUUUUUGCAAAUUGCCCCCUGACAAAUUUUAUUUGCAAAAAUAGCCCUGUGUAAAAUUUAUUUGCAAAAAUGGCCCUGGCCCUGCCACGCCAGCGCCACGUCAGCGCCNAUUAUUGAGAUUCUAUUGGUUGUGAUGUUGUAAUGUGUAUUAAUUUUGUGAUGUUGUGAUGUGCAUUACUUUUGUGAUGUUGUGAUGUAUUGUGAUGUGUAUUGAUAGGUAUCUGUAUCGUAUUCUUUUAUUGAAUCUUGUAAUUCAUUUUUCUUCAACAUGUAUCUGUAUCGUAUUCUUGUAUUGAAUCUUGUAAAUGAUAUUUCUGCGGCAAACUACUUGUAGGGCUGGCAGUUGUAUUGGACACGGUGAAUGGAUGACCGUGUCCAAUACAAAUGUAAUGGACACGGUGAUCCAUUCACCGUGUCCAAUACAAAUCUAUUGGACACGGUGAUCCAUUCACCGUGUCCAAUAAAAAUCUCUGGACACGGUGAGUGGUUCACCGUGUCCAAUACAAAUGUAUUCAAUACCCCGAAAAUGGUUAAGUCCGUGACCAAUACAAGUAGCCAGGCCGUGUUUUGCCAAAAAUGGAAGUGAAGGACACGGUAAAUGGUUCACCGUGUCUAAACGCGGUGAACAGUUCACCGUGUUUAGACACGGUGAACGAAUCACCGUGUCUAAUGCAAUACUAACGCUGGGGCAGGGUGUGAGAACACUAUGAACACGGUGAUUGGUUCACCGUGUUUAGACACGGUGAACCAAUCACCGUGUUCAACUUAACUACCUGGCCGAGCCCCUGCCCGCGUGGCGCUGACGUGGCGCUGGCGUGGCAGGGCCAGGGACAUUUUUGCAAAUAAAUUUUACACAGGGCUAUUUUUGCAAAUAAAAUUUGUCAGGGGGCUAUUUGCAAAAAAACCCCUUAAAAAUCUAAUCUCUUCCCUUUCUCUCUCUCUAUUGUUUUUUCUAACCGAACACACACACAAAAAAAAUAUCACUUAUUUAAUUUCACCUCGAGUGGUUUGCUGGGCCAUGCAUGUGCCUCUUUUGCACCUUCUCUCUACAAUUAAAAAUCUAAUCUCUUCCCUUUCUCUCUCUAUUGUUUUUUCUAACCGAACACACACACACAAAAAUAAUUUUUCACUUAUUUAAUUUCACCUAGAGUGGUUUGCUAAUUAUUUUACGCUGCUUCAACUUUGCUCGCCUGCUUAAAUUUCAGCUUUUUUGAUGAAUUUUCUUCGCUGCAUUUGUUUUGAUUUGAUUGAGUAAAAACAAAUCAUAAAAAAAAGGUGUUCCAUCAUUAAAUCACGUCGGGCAUGAAUGUGCCUCUUUGCACCUUCUCUCUACAAUUAAAAAUCUAAUCUCUUCUCUCUCUCUCUCUAUUAUUUUUAUAACCGAACACACACACACACAAAUAAUUUUUCACUUAUUUAAUUUCACCUACAGUGGUUUGCUAAUUAUUUUACACUGCUUCAACUUUGCUCGCCUUCUUAAAUUUCAACUUUUUGAUGAAUUUUCUUUACUGCAUUUGUUUUGAUUUGAUUGAGUAAAAACAAAUCAUAAAAAAAACAGUGUUCCGUCAUUAAGUCACGUCGCCUGUUUCAUUAAAUCUGAAGUUUUAGUUACUGUAACAUUCAUGCACCUUGUGUUUGAUGCUAAACAACAUUGCUAUAUAUAGAAAAAGUUGGGGAGGAUACAUGCAUUCUAAUGAUAAGAAAGAAAGCAAAAGGACAAGGAAUAUUCUAUAUACUAUGGAAAAUUUUGUUUCAUACAUCCUGUGUUUGAUGUUAAACAAUAUUGCUAUAUAUAGAAAAAGUUGGGUAGGAUGCAUACAUCGGAAUGAUAAGAAAGAAAGCAAAAGGACAAGGAAUAUUUUAUGUAGUAUGGAAAAGUUUGUAAGAGAAAAGUUUAUCCUGUAUGUGAGAUACAAUUUUUAUUGAACUUAGAAAAGUAAAAGGCAAUUUACAAAUAAUUCAUGGUAAAAUUGGAAUGAAAACAGGAGAUUUAGAAUUUUCUGUAAGGAAUGUAGUUUUUGUUAGCAGAAAAUUUAGUGUAAGAAAAUUUUGAAAAUGUGAGAAUAUGUCGGAAUUAUUUUUUUGAUGCUAGAUUUAAAGUUUCGUGUCAUUCUGACACUCGAAAAGUGAGGACGAAACAUAAUAGCAAUCUGAUAAAGAUUUUAGUUGGUAGACCUUUCGGCGACAAAAAAUGAUUCAAAACUGAAAAUUAAGAUCACGUUCUUUUGGUUGAUUUUAAUUGAGCUUGACUUUCAAAUUUGAGCUUAAACGGACAUUCAGAAGGGCUCCAACUAAAAAUAUCAGAUUCUGAACUAAAUUAAACUAUAAGUUGUAGUUGUUGGGGAGCCUAUAUGUAAGCCCAUACCAUCUCUCCCUGGUUUUGCCCAACACGUGUGAGAGUGGAGAAGGUUCUCUUUCUCUCUUUCUCUCCCACACACACCCACAACAUGAGAGCUUCUCUCUCUUUCUCUCAAUCCCUCUACAUUUUCGGUUUAGGUAGGUUCGAAUUUUCCCUCUCUUCUCUUCCUACAGAAUGUGAAUAUCCGCCGUGAAUAUCCACCGUGAAUUGUAGAGUAAUCUUAUCUGAAAAAAACUCUGGAUCUCUCAUCUGAAAAAAAAAAUCUAGAUUGGCACAAUUGGGAUGGAAAUUGAAUGCCAUGUUUGUAGUAGCCGUGCGAGUUUGAAUUCAAAUAUGAACUUAGACUUCAAGAACCAACAUGAUUCAUGCUCAGAACUCCUAACUUGACCAGAUAAAUAAAAAAAACAAUUAUGUCAGAGAUAAACUCGAUUUUUUUGAACUUAUAAUAUCAUCGCUAAUAAAUCGCCAUUUGACCAAACAACUUCAAUAAUUUAGCAUACAAUGGACUUCAAAUUUUUGGUAGAAAAAAAAAAACAUACAACCAAUUUGCAUAACUUUUAUUUUUUUACAUAAAAUAUUAAUAAUUACACAACUGUCUAUAAUUGUAUGCCUUAAGUCGUAAUCUGUCAUAUUAUAACAGUUUACAAAACCAACCUAUGAAAUAUGGUAGAUUAAAAUUUGAUAGUGAAUUGCAUCAAAAUUUCUAAUUUAUUUCAACUUUCAAGUUGAAGAAAAUUUGCUGUGGUGUGAGUUAAGUAGCUUAAUUUUGUGCCCAAUAUUUAUCUAACUAAAUUGGAUUAGGUAAUUUUAGUUGGCUAAUUCUAAUACUAGCACAUGACUUUCAUAUUUCGAAAAUAUUUAUAUUUACGCAACUAAAUUGGUUAGUUAGAAUUCAUUCCAAUAAUUCAACAAAACCAUUUGUAUUUACGCAACUAAAUUGGUUACUUAGAAUUCAUUCCAAUAAUUCAGCAAAACCGACCUAUAAAUCACGAAAGCUUAGAAAUUAUUAAAUUGACUCAAAAAAAUAAUUUACUUAACCACUAACAAUGGAAUAUUUAGUUUACUUAAUCCAUUAAUGUGCUGCUGGUUUGAAAAUUCAAACCUACCUAAAUCGAAAAUGUAGAGGGAUUGAGAGAAAGAGAGAGAAGCUCUCAUGUUGUGGGUGUGUGUGGGAGAGAACGAGAGAAAGAGAACCUUCUCCACUCUCACACGUGUUGGGCAAAACCAGGGAGAGAUGGUGUGGGCUUACAUAUAGGCCCCCCAACAACUACAACUUACAGUGUAAUCCAAUUCAGAAUCUGAUACUUUUAGUUGAGGCCAUUUUGAAUGUUCGUUUACGCUCAAAUUUGAAAGUCAAGCUCAGUUAAAAUCAACAAGAAGAACGUGAUCUUAAUUUUUCAGUUUUGAAUCAUUUUUUGUUGCCGAAAGGUCUACAAACUAAAAUCUUUAUCAUACUGUUGUUGUAUUCCAUCCUCACUUUUAAAGUGUCAGAAUGACACGAAACUUUAAAUCUAGCAUCAGAAAAAUAAUUCCGAUAUAUUCUCAAAUUUUUAUAAUUUUCUUACACUGUGAAUUUUCUGCUAACAAAAAACUACAUUUCUUACAGAAAAUUUUAAAUCUCUUGUUUUCAUUCCAAUUUUACCAUGAAUUAUUUGUAAAUUGUCUUUUACUUUUCUAGGUCCAAUAAAAAUAGUAUCUCACGCACAAGAUAAAUUUUUCUCUUACAAAAUUUUCUAUACUACAUAGAAUAUUCCUUAUCCUUUCGCUUUUUUUCUUAUCAUUCCGAUGCAUGCAUCCUAUCCAACUUUUUCUAUUUAUAGCAAUAUUGUUUAACAUCAAACACAUGGUGCAUGAAACAAAAAUUUUCAUAGUACAUAGAAUAUUCCUUGUCUUUUUGCUUUCUUUCUUAUCAUUAGAAUGUAUGCAUCCUCCCCAACUUUUUCUAUAUAUAGCAAUGCCGUUUAGCAUCAAACACAGGGUGCAUGAAUGUUUAGUUUUGUCUCUACCUAUUUGUCUUUCAACAUCAACCAUGAUAUAGAAUAUUCUCCAACAUGCUAUAUGUAUACACUUCAAAUAAAGAAGAUUGUUAGAGAAACCCAUGCUUUCCAGGUUAUUCCUGAUUUUCAGAGAUCAGCUAUGAACCAUUACUCCUUUAAAGUUACAAAGAUAUUUCAUGUGAAUUGUCUUCACGAUAAAGACAAUCAUAUUGCAAAGGAAUUUAAUAGUGCGGUCGCUUCUGAAAAUCAACUUAUUAUACCUGAUAAAAAUAGUGCUCAAGUGGAAAAUACUAUUGGCGAAUAUGGUCCUACCGAAAGCCAAUCAAGGUAUGAUUAACAAACAAGUUAAGAACUGAUUAUAAAUUAAUAUUUUGUCUGUUCAAAAAAAAAAUUAUCUAAUAAUUAAUGUUCUAUCUGUUUUCAGCAAAAGGUUGAAUCUUAGACAGUUUCUGAUCAUUGUUGGAUUCUUAAAUUGGCACGGGUGAAGCAAUAUAUUUAUUAGCCGUCAUUUCAAACUUCAGGUUUUUUGAGCCCCCAGCGGUAGCUGGCGCGAUGUGGAUUGGUUCCACUAUUGAAACAGUAAUUCUGAAAUGCUGUUUGGCCUAGUUUUGAGACUAUGGCUUCUAUUGUCUUGCUACACUUUGCAUGGGCCUGUUCCGUCACUUAAGAUGGCACCGUUCGAAGCAGCGAAUGAGGUGUGGAGAUGUAUGGCAUGGGUCGGGACACUUCAUACGCUGCAGUGGCGUUCAUGUGAGUUUAAGAGAAAAUCAACGAAAUUUGAAUUGUACCUAUGUUCUGAUCGUGCCAUUAUGAGUUGUGGGUAAUUUUUUGUCAAGUUUAGUGGCGAUUUGGUGUUGAGGGGCAUUUUAAAGCUGAAUGCAUCCUGUGUGCGUCAUCCGACAUUGAUGUGGUGUUCGGAAUAUUGAAAUUUGGCAUUUUUUCCAGUUAAGCCGUUGGGUUAGGAGCACACUAUCAUGAUUGUUGCUGGUUGAAACUCUAUUGUAGUUGCAUCCCUAGUGAAAAAGACCCACGGGAGUGAUCUUGUUGUCUUGUGUUGUCCAACUAUCGAAAAUAACAAUUUUGAGAUUUAUGGACAAAAUUUCGUAGUUUCGGUGCACUAAUUGUACAAUUGGACUUCGAAACUUGUGGAAGGUAUUCCCGAGGGUCCUUACUAUUUGUGAACAGUGGUUGAAAGGUGAGGCUGGUACAAUUGAUUUUGUCAUCGAAAUUGGUUUGAUUCAGAGCUAUCGUGGUCUAGGUCGACUGCUGUAAUCCGUUUUGUCAAGCACUUGGCGUGAGGCUAUCACAACACUUAUAAGUGGCGUGUCUCGUGAUAGCGAAAGGGAUGCUAUAACUCUUUGCUAAGUUGGAUGGUCUUUGGGCUUAUUUUUGAAAGUCCGCUUGUGGAAUCAAUAUUUCAUUUGUGUUGAGGUGCAAUUUCGUGCGAUUUGGACGUGUUGGUUGGUAUAGAUGACACGUUGCGGCUAACUGUAGUAGUUGAUUGUUUUGUCUGGAUUCGGGUGACACCUAGAGAUAUCACUCGAGUCGAGAACCUAGGUACUUGAUUUGGUGGGUGAUUCGAUUCGAAGUUGGUUAAGUUGUUCUUACUUGGUUUUCCCAUAAUGUUUCUAUUGUUCCAUAACACAUGUUAAGUAGUAUAGCUUAUCAUGACACCUUAUGUAAUGUAUCGCAUCCCCGUGAGUUGUGCCGAGUUCUGACGAAACGAGCGGAGCGCGGAUUCGGACAAGUUAGAGUGGUUCGCAAAGUGUUUAAAACGCUUUGGAACGAGUUGCAUAGGGGUUAGAGGACCCAUGAGAGCAAGAUGGGAAAGUUUCAACUUGAAACUCAAGAAUUUUGCUCUCGGGGUUUGGACCCUGUGCAGGGUCCGGACCCCGUAAGCGAAAAUUACCCAGUUCGGGCAGUGCAUAGAUUGCAUUGUUUGGGGUGUUAGGUGCAAUUUUGUUAUGAGAGGGGUGUAUAGAAGUGAAGGGCUUAUGUUUAGGGCUCAUUUCUCUCAACCCAACCUAAUGUUAGGGCUCCCUCUCUCUCUCUCUAAAAACUUUCUCUCUUUUUAGAGCUUGAGCAAGAGGGGCUUUUGGAGGGGCUUUGGUGGAGAAGAAGACCAAGACAAGGGUGUUGCUUGAAAUUGUGCAAGAGCUUGGAGGAAAGCUUGAACCUAAAGGUUGGUUUUCAUGUUUCUAAGCUAGGUUUUGGUUUAAUUCCUUCUAGCAUGAGUUCUAGGAGUUGUAGUGGUAGAUUUCUCCAUUUCCCUCAUGUUAGGGACUUGAUUGGAGAAGAUGAUGUUGUGUAGGGACCUAAUGUUAGGAUUUUGUUAAUACGAGGUCUAAGCUUUGGAUUGAUCUUUUAUUACCCUAAUUGUUAGGUUGACGAACGCGUUGGCGAGCUCGGUUCGGCGAUCCGACAAGCGUACGCGGAGAUAUUGGCGAAAAAGUCUAUUUUGGCUUCGUUUUGCCGCAUAGGUGUCCAAAAAUCAUGAGAAUCGAACGGUAGCAUCUUAGCAUUCCUAUAAGGUAGGGAGUGCUAUCCAGAAUCUCUGAAUUCCCCCCUAUGUCUAUGUUGCCUUUUUAUUGAGCAUAUGUGAAUAGUCCCAUCAUGCAUGAUAGGGUAGUUGACAUGUGGUUAUUGGUUGAGAUUCAAUUGUAUGCUUCUAAUGUAGAUGAACAUAGUAAUUGACAUAGAACCAUUUGAGACGUGUAUGUUGGAACCCUAUGCUUGUGUGAAUGUGAGAUAUGGACUAUGAUAAUAAUAAACAAAGGUGACAUUGACAUUAGCGAGUGAAUAGUCCCAUUCAUGCAUGAUAGGGUAGUUGACAUGUGGUUAUUGGUUGAGAUUCAAUUGUAUGCUUCUAACGUAGAUGAACAUAGUAAUUGACAUAGAACCAUAUGAGAUGUGUAUGUUGGAACCCUAUGCUUGUGUGAAUGUAAGAUAUGGACUAUGAUAAUAAUAAACAAAGGUGACAUUGACAUUAGCGACGAGAUUGGCACUGAGAGAUGAAUUGCUAAACAAGGUUAAACCAAUUGUGGCAUUAUGGCAAGUGUGGCCUAGAUAGUGGUAUAUAUGACAAGGUAGAAACCUGUCAUUGCAUUGUGGCAUCGUGGCUUGUGGCAAAAUAGCAAAUGUGGCUACACGUCCUCAAAUUGAGGAUUGAAUUGUACUCACAUUAAGUCUUGACUUGAGGGAGGUAGCUCCCCCUCAAGCGGUGCGUUCCGGAAUUGACACCACGGGGAGAGCGAUCCCCGAAGACGGUCCCUCGGGCGUGGUAAAGUCCCCCCGAAUGAUAGGAAUUUUGGAUUGUGAGUUUGGGGUUAACAAGUGUUAACCGGUUUGAUUGGGUAAAAGCCAAAGAGAAAGAAAGCAUGCAUGCGUAUUUAUCAUACAUAUGAUUAUCUAUCUGUUGAUCAGUUUCUUGCAGGCAUAGUAUUAGCAUUAGUGUGGUUUGACACUUUCAAAUAGGGUAUAUCCCUGUUUAAUCAAAAAAAAGCAUUAGUGUGGUUUGCUAUAUCUACUUUCUUUCAUACUUAUGCCUGAAUAGACCUAGUGGGCAAAUCGGCGAGAUCGGCGGCCGAACCCACUGGGAACUUCGAUGUAGUUCUCACACCACUAACCCUACAGAUCCGAGCGCGAGCGGGGCAGUGGAGGAUCGAGGCAAGGGUUUAGCGCCGUAGUUAGUGGCUACCGAAGUAUAGUCAUUUCCUUUGUACAUUCAACUUUUGUAUGUUGAAAAGAGAUGUAUAAAUCUUUAUGUUUUGGGUUGGAUGAAUGUAAAUGAUGUAAAUAUAUGGAAAUGAAUGGAUGUAAAUGUGGUUACUUGUAUUUGGUUAAAAGGUAAUCAAAUGACAUGUAUGUGGUUGUAUGUUUAGUGUAGCAGCUUAGAGCUUUCACUACUUGUCGUUGUUGCUUGUCCUCGAGCAAGCCGUGUAUGAUUGCAUUCACUCUAUGUUGAAUUGCUUUGAUUGUACAUGUGUUGGAACCUUGGGUGGACGGGGGAGGUGCUGUCCGUUCGGCCUCUGUUGACGUGCCCGAACCGACCAAAUUGGCGGUAGCGGGACGUGACAGAUAUAAUGGUAUCAGAGCCGUGGUGAAAGUAAAAAAAGUCUAGGAUGGUCUUAGGGACCUUAGGGUUGGAGACCUCAGGGACUUAGGAAACGUUUAACGUGGACUUGGUUAUGCGGAAGCUAAUUGAUUGGGUUGUUGUCAGUACUUCUCUCAAAGGAGUUGGAGAUAGAUUCAAGUGCUUAGUUGUUUUUUUCUUGAGGGAUUAUGUGGGGCGGCCGACUACAUAAUGCCAAGGGUUGAAAAUGAGUACACUUGAUCGCUUUCGCUUGAUUGGGUAGUUAAUUGGAACGUGUGUGUGUCACGUGUGUCAAGUACUAAUGUGUAUGCUACGUUUCAGGACGUGGUGGCACCACCUCGACGUUCAACGAGGUCCGCUCCGGCAUUGCCUAGUGAGGUGCCCGAGCAAUCUAGAUAGGAUGAAGUGUGCGAGUUGCGAGCCCAAGUAGCAGCUUUGGUCGGGGCUAUGCAGCGGCAAAAGGAGCAGAUUGGAAGGCUCCACGACUUGGUGGCUCGACAGGCAGCUGUGGCUACACCUGUACCUCAGGACCCGCCCGCACCUGUAGCACCUACUCCUGCGGUGGCGGCGGCAUUGGUGACGGCUAUUCCUCCGAUGGCUUCGGGUUCUUCGGCUCUUGAUCCCGAUGCACUUGAGGCCGAGCAGGAGCAGUCGUUGGCAGUGUUGACGGCCUUUAAGCGGUUCAACCCUCCAACCUUCAACGGUGAUGACAAGGACCCUUGGGUCAUGGAGGCUUGGCUUACCGCUAUGGAGGCGUUAUUCGAGGAUAUCUACACCUUUGAGAGAGAUAAAGUUCACCUGGCGUCUCAUUGUUUUGAGGGGUCGGCUCAAUUGUGGUGGACACGGGUGAAGAAAGGCCGGUCAUUGGAGCUUUCACCCAUGACUUGGGAGGCGUUUCGGGAGCUACUAUUGAUGGAGUAUUUUCCCGAAAGUGACAAGCGGAAGAUCAAGGAGGACUUUCGCAAGUUAAGACAAGGGAACCGAUCGGUGCGGGAGUAUGAAAAGGAGUUCUCGCACAUGGUGAAUUGUGUGCCGGGCUUGGUUCGUGGUGAUCGGGACCGAGCGGAGGUUUUCGAGCGCGGGUUGCGACCCGAUAUUUUCAAGGUUAUUCAUGCAUUUCACUUGAAGACCUACGAGGAUGUGCUCCGCCCGUUAUGGGUGGAGCGCGGCAAUGCUAUUGCGCGAGAGGAGCGCGAUGCAUUUGAGAAGGACAAAGACAAAGAUAAGUCCAAGAAGCUGGCGGCUAGUGGAUCUGCGGGGCAGUCGAGUUCCAAGCGACCCCUCGGUAUCAGCGACCACUUUAGCGGCGAGCUAGGAGUCAGACACAAAGCCAGACGACUUCCUUCCCAUGUGUGAUUUGCGGUGGUGAUCACAAGGUAGCGGGCUAUCCUCAGCGUGAGGGGCUGUGUUUCAGAUGCGGCCAAGCAGGGCACUUGAGUCGGGAGUGUCCGGGUGGCGCAUCACUUGCUCCGUCAGCGGCUUCAGUUUAGUAUGCUCCGCGAUAGCUUGCGGGAUUGCCACCUGCUAUGUCGGCUGGAUGCGCGUGAGCACCGCGUCAGUCGGAGGGAUCUCGAGCACCGAGUGGACGGGUUUUUGCCACUCAGGUGGAGGAGCAGCCUGCCAUACCAGAUGAUGUCGUGGCAGGUAUUAUUUUGAUUAAUGGCACUAGAGGUAGAGCUUUAUUUAAUACAGGUGCAUCUUAUUCAUUUAUCGGUGCAUCGUUUGCUAAGACUCAUGGCAUGAAAGUAGUGUAUAACCCGGACUAUUGGUGGGUCAACACACCAGAGCAUUUAUUUAGUGUCCACGAGGAGUGCCUGGCUUGUCCGGUUCAGAUAGGCGAUUGGAUCAUGCCGGCAGAUUUGCUAGUGCUAAAUCAGAUGUGGGGCUUCGAUGUAAUUUUGGGGAUCGAUUAGCUCUCCAAGUACUAUGCCAGUAUCGAUUGUGAAAGCAAGGUGAUCACUUUUUAUGAGCCUAAUCAAGAGGAGUUGGUAUAUCGUGCGUGCAAAAGCUCGCACUUCACGGCGACCGUGUCGGCGGCGAGGGUGAGAAAGAUGAUUAAAGGUGGAUGUGUGGCUUAUUUUGCAACAAUGGUAGAGACUCAAAGGGAGCACUCAGAACUUGGGGAUAUCCGAGUAGCAUGUGAAUUUUCGGAUGUGUUUCCGGUGGAGUUACCGGGAUUGCCACCGGACCGGGAGAUCGAGUUCGUCAUUGACUUAAUUUCCGGGGCGAAGCCAAUUUCGAAGGCUCCGUAUAGAAUGGCACCGGCGGAGCUUAAAAAGUUGAAGGCUCAAUUACAAGACCUGCUCGAUAAAGGCUUUGUGAGGCCGAGUGUGUCGCCGUGGGAAGCCCCGAUGCUAUUUGUGAAGAAAAAGGACGCCACACUCCGACUCUGCGUGUAUUAUUGUGAGUUGAACAAAGUGACGGUCAAGAACAAGUACCUGUUGCCGAGGAAUGAUGAUUUGUUUGACUAGUUGCAAGGGUCGCGAGUAUAUUCGAAGAUUGAUCUUCAAUCAGGGUAUCAUCAAUUGAAGAUCCGGCCGAAGAAUGUGCACAAAACGGCGUAUCGUACGCGGUAUGGCCACUACGAGUUUACAGUAAUGCCGUUUGGGCUUACUAAUGCCCCGGCAACAUUUAUGGACUUGAUGAAUCGAGUCUUUCGAUCGUUGUUGGACCGGUGCGUCGUGGUAUUCAUUGACGACGUGUUGGUUUAUUCACGGAGCGAGGAGGAACACGAGGAACAUUUGAGGACCGUGUUGUAAAUACUUCGAAAAGAGAAGCUUUAUGCUAAGCUAAAGAAGUGCGAUUUUGGCUUUCGGAGGUUACCUUCUUAGGCCAUGUGAUAUCCGGGAGUGGCGUCUCGGUGAAUCCAAGGAAGGUUGAGGCAAUUAAAGAUUGGCCUCGCCCGACAAGUAUAGCGGAAGUCCGCAGUUUUCUUGGAUUAGCGGGCUACUAUCGGCGGUUUGUGGAGGGGUUUGCAAAGUUGACUACUCCCCUCACACGCCUUACGCACAAAGGGGUGAAAUUCGUGUGGAGUGACGAUUGUGACCGAAGCUUCCAAGAGCUAAAAGAGAGGUUGACAUCGACCCCGGUACUUGCUUUGCCGACGCCGGGGGAGAGCUUCGUGGUAUAUAGCGAUGCUUCCUACAGUGGUCUCGCAUGUGUUCUUAUGCAAAGUAGGCGAGUCAUUGCGUAUGCUUCGCGUCAAUUGAAGAGGUAUGAGAAGAACUACUCGACACACGACCUUAAGCUAGCCGCGGUCAUUUUCGCGCUAAAGUUGUGGAGGCAUUAUCUUUAUGGUGAGCAUUGCGAGGUGUAUACCGAUCACAAGAGCCUCAAGUACUUGUUCACCCAGAAAGAGUUGAAUAUGCGGCAGCAGCGGUGGUUGGAGUUAUUGAAGGAUUAUGAUAUUACUAUCCUAUACCACCCCGGGAAGGCCAAUGUGGUAGCCGAUACGCUAAGUAGAAAGUUUGUGGAGAACUUGGCGACGGCAGUUACUAGUCAACCGUUGUUGCAAAAAGAGAUGCAACGGUUUGGGUUGGAAGUAGUAGCGCCGGAGGUUCCGACCAUUUUGGCGGCGCUUGUGGUUCAACCGACCUUAUUGGAGAGAAUCAAGGAGCGGCAAGUUGAGGACCCAUAUCUCCAGAAGGUGCGGAGUGAUAUUGAGGGCGGACGCGCCGGUGACUUCAGCGUUGGAUCUGACGGUGCACUUCUGUUCAGAAACCGGUGGUGUGUGCCCAAGGAUGAUGAAAUCCGCAAGGCGGUAUUGCAAGAAGCACAACAUUCCCCGUACAGCAUACACCUGGGCAGCACUAAGAUGUACAAGGACUUGAAAGUGUUUUAUUGGUGGCCGGGCAUGAAAAGAGACAUUGGGGAGUUUGUUGUGCAGUGCUUGACGUGCCAACAAGUAAAGGCAGAAUACCAGUUUCCCGCGGGAAAGUUGCAAAGCUUACCUAUACCCGUGCGGAAGUGGGAGGACAUUUGAUGGACUUUGUGGUCGGUCUACCCCGAUCGCAAGCCGGACAUGACGCAAUAUCGGUGGUUGUGGACCGUUUGACAAAGUCAGCUCAUUUCUUGCCGAUCCACACCACGUGGUCCGGAGACAAGUUAGCACAAGUUUACUUGGAUGAGGUAGUGAGAUUGCAUGGGGUUCCAUCAUCGAUUGUGUCAGAUCGAGACUCCCGGUUCACUUUUUAUUUUUGGAAGAGCUUGCAAGAUGCUCUAGGUACGCGGCUGACUUCAGUACAACGUUUCAUCCUCAGAGUGAUGGUCAGUCGGAGAGGACAAUUCAGAUACUCGCGGAUAUGCUUCGGGCGUGUGUACUUGACUACAAAGGAGGGUGGCAUGAGUAUUUGCCAAUGGCGGAGUUCGCUUACAAUAACAGUUAUUAAGAGAGUAUAGCGAUGGCACCAUUCGAGGCACUCUAUAGAUGUAAGUGUCUCUCCCCUAUUCAUUGGAGCGAGGUGGGUGAAAGGGUCACCCUUGGUCCGGAUGUGGUGCGAGAGGCGAAGGAGAAAGUUCGCCUUGCUCGCCAAAGGUUGUUGACGGCACAAUCGCUGCAACGAAGCUACGCGAAUAAGCGCCGAAAGGAUUUAGAGUACACGGUUGGAGACCGUGUAUUUCUCAAAGUAUCGCCUAUGCGUGGGGUAAAGCGGUUCGAAAUUCGGGGGAAAGCUUAGUCCCCGAUACAUUGUACCGUAUGAGAUUCUGGAUCGGAUUGGACCGGUGGCGCACAAGUUAGCGUUACCGCCGAAGCUUGCGGGAGUGCACAACGUGUUCCAUGUAUCGAAUCUCCGCAAGUAUUUUCGUAACUCCUCACAUGUGUUUGUAAUACACUGAACUCUUGCAAAUUGCGGAGUUCGAGUGUGCGGCAUGAAGUGUGGAUCUAUCUUACAUGUUCUAAAUGGCUUGGACAAGUUUUUGGACAAGUUAGAGGGUGAGUGGAAGGCUAGAAGCAAGAAAAUGCAAUGCUCGGGCGAAAUCAACCUUUUUCUGCUUGCUGUACCGGUACAGCCAUUAGCUUGUACCGGUACAGCAAUGCAGAAACGUGGCAGCAUGGGCUUUUUGGUAAUUUCACCUUCUAAUCCCUAUCUAUAACCCCCAGCACGACUNCGAGGCUGGCGGCUUACCCACUGGGAACUAUUGUUAAUAGUUCUCAAGCCCUUUUUAUGGUUGUUUUUACAGAACCAUCUACAGGAGAGGCUAGGGAUCGUGGCAAGGGAGUCGCGUCUAGCUAGACUUUGCUAGGAGCGUGCUAGUCGAUCACCUUGCUACUCGGGCUACGGCCGAGGGUGAUGUCCUUUGUAUAGAGUGACUACCAUUGUACAGAUGUUUUUGUGUGCCCUGUAUUGUAUAUGAGUUGUAGAUCCAGAUGUUAUAGUUCAUACUUUCUCUCCUUCUGCUGGAAUUUUGGAUUGUAUACUCUUUGUUCUUUUACUGAUAAUAUAUCGACUUGUACAUUGCUCUGAUAUUGAAAUAGGAUCUCCUAUGAUUUCUCCUAUUGCCUUGCUUUGUUCUAUAGACGCCUUAUACACUGCAGGUGUAUGGCGGGUCUGUGCACGUACCGGAUAUGCUUCCGCUGGUACCCGGGCGUGACAGUGUUGGAGUAUGAGCCGGUUGCGCUACACGAGGAUGGCACUUAUGAAGAAUUUUCGGUGAGCAUUCUUGCUCGAGAGGAGCAGAAGCUACGGAAUCGGACUAUUCCAUAUGUGAAGGUCCAGUGGAGCAAUCACUCGAAGCGUGAAUCCACGUGGGAACUCGAGGAGAAGAUGCGCGAGACCUAUCCUCAUUUAUUCGAUCAAAUGAGCUAAGGUAUGUGUUAAGUUUCGCGGACAAAACUAUUUUUAAGGGAUGGGGAAUGUAACGUAUCGCACCCCCGUGAGUUGUGCCGAGUUCCGACGAAACGAGCGGAACGCGGAUUCGAACAAGUUAGAGUAGUCCGCAAAGUGUUUAAAACGCUUUGGAACGAGUUGCAUAGGAGUUGGAGGACCCAUGGGAGCAAGCUAGGAAAGUUUCAGCUUGAAACUCAAGAUUUUGCUCUCGGGGUGCAGGGUCCGGACCCCAUAAGCAAAAAUUGCCUAGUUCGGGCAGUGCACAGUUUGCAUUGUUUGGGGUGUUAGGUGCAAUUGUGUUAUGAGAGGGCUGUAUAGAAGUGAGGGGCUUAUGUUUAGGGCUCAUUUCUCUCAACCCAACCUAAUGUUAGGGCUCCCUCUCUCUCUCUAAAACCCUUCUCUCUCUCUAGAGCUUGAGCAAGAGGGACUUUUGGAGGGGCUUUGGUGGAGAAGAAGACCGGACAAGGGUGUUGCUUGCAAUUGUGCAAGAGCUUGGAGGAAAGCUUGAACCUAAAGGUUCGUUUUCAUGUUUCUAAGCUAGGUUUUGGUUUAAUUCCUUCUAGCAUGAGUUCUAGGAGUUGUAGUGGUAGAUUUCUCCAUUUCCUUCAUGUUAGGAACUUGAUUGGAGAAGAUGAUGUUGUGUAGGGACCUAAUGUUAGGGUUUUGUUAAUAUGAGGUCUAAGCUUGGGAUUGAUCUCUUACUACCCUAAUUGUUAGGUUGACGAACGCGUUGGCGAGCUCGGUUCGGCGAUCCGACGAGCGUACGCGGAGAUAUUAGCGAAAAAGCCUGUUUUGGCUUCGUUUUGCCGCAGCACGCGGCGUAGGUGUCCAAAAAUCACGAGAGUCGAACGGUAGCAUCUUAGCAUUCCUACAAGGUAGGGGGUGCUUUCCGGAAUCUCUGAAUUCCCCUCUAUGUCUAUGUUGCCUUUUUAUUGAGCAUAUGUGAAUAGUGCCAUUCAUGCAUGAUAGGGUAGUUGACAUGUGGUUAUUGGUUUAGAUUCAAUUGUAUACUUCUAAUGUAGAUGAACAUAGUAAUUGACAUAGAACCAUAUGAGACGUGUAUGUUGGAACCCUAUGCUUGUGUGAAUGUGAGAUAUAGACUAUGAUAAUAGUGAACAAAGGUGACAUUGAUAUUAGCAACGAGAUUGGCACUGAGAGAUGAAUUGCUAAACAAGGUUAAGCCAAUUGUGGCAUUAUGGCAAGUGUGGCCUAGAGAGUGGUAUAUAUGACAAGGUAGAAACCUAUCAUUGCAUUGUGGCAUCGUGGCUUGUGGCAAAGUAGCAAAUGUGGCUAUGCGUCCUCAAAUUGAAGAUUGAAUCGUACUCACAUUAAGUCUAGGCUUGAGGGAGGUAGCUCCCCCUCAAGCGGUGCGUUUCGGAAUUGACACCAUGGGGAGAGCGAUCCCCGAAGAAGGUCCCUCGGGCGUGGUAAAGUCCCCCCGAAUGAUAGGGAUUUUGGGUUGUGAGUUUGGGGUUAACAAGUGUUAACCGGUUUGAUUGGAUAAAAGCCAAAGAGAAAGAAAGCAUGCAUGCAUAUUUAUCAUAAAUAUGAUUAUCUAUCUGUUGAUCAAUUUCUUGCAGGCAUAGUAUUAGCAUUAGUGUGGUUUGCUAUAUCUACUUUCUUUCAUACUUAUGCCUGAAUAGACCUAGUGAGCAAAUCGGCGAGGUCGGCGGCCGAACCCACUGGGAACUUCGUUGUAGUUCUCACACCACUAACCCUACAGAUCCGAGCGCGAGCGGGGCGGUGGAGGAUCGAGGCAAGGGUUUAGCGCCGUAGUUAGUGGCUACCGAAGUAUAGUCAUUUCCUUUGUACAUUCAACUUUUGUAUGUUGAAAAGAGAUGUAUAAAUCUUUAUGUUUGGGUUGGAUGAAUGUAAAUGAUGUAAAUGUAUGGAAAUGAAUGGAUGUAAAUGUGGUUACUUGUAUUUGGUUAAAAGGUAAUCAAAUGACAUGUAUGUGGUUGUACGUUUAGUGUAGCAGCUUAGAGCUUUCACUACUUGUCGUUGUUGCUUGCCCUCGAGCAAGCCGUGUAUGAUUGCAUUCACCCUAUGUUGAAUUGCUUUGAUUGUACAUGUGUUGGAGCCUUGGGCGGACAGGGGAGGUGCUGUCCGUUCGGCGUCUGUUGACGUGCCCGAACUGACCAAAUUGGCGAUAGCGGGGCGUGACACCUUAACUUACAUGCUUAGUUAUUUCACAUAUCAGUUGUUCUAUCUAUCUUUCCUAGCUAUCUUUCCUAGCUUAUUGCUUAUGAUUUAUCAUAUUUACUUCUUGUCCUUGGAUGAUGUAUGAUAUGUACAGUAGGAUUGGUUAUAGUUGCUUAUCUACAUGACUAUAAUAUAACUUGGCAGGUGAUUAGUCAUUAGUUAAGAUUUGACCUUAUUGGUUGGUGGAUAUAUCCUUAUGGAAUUGACCUUGUUGGUCGACAGAUUUACUCCUUGACUUUGUAUGUUGCUUGACUCUCUUAUACACUUUAACCUCGUUGGUUUAUAGAUUUGCUUCAUGAGAUUCGACCUAGUUAGUCAGUGGUUACUCCAUAUGUAGUGCACUGAACUUUUGAAAAUAAUUAUGUUCUAGUAAGAAUAGUAUUUUGAUACUAUUUAAAAGAUAUUGGUGGAGUUUGAGAUGUGUUGGAAUGGUUCUGGUGCAAAAACAACACAAAAAUGAAAUUCUGGUGUCAAAUUAUGCUUAGUAGCAAUUUCGAUGUACGUAUCGGUACUGAAGUUUAGGGUAUCAGUAUUGAAGUUUGAGUUCAGCUGAGGAAGCCUUCGAGUUUUGCAAAACUCUUGAGUAGUAUUGAUACCGAGGGUUGCGUACUAGUACCUGUAAAGAGUACUAUUGGAACUCUCGAGCGAGAAAACCUGCGAACACUCUCGGGUUUGCAUAACUUCCACAGGGUACCAAUAUUUAGGGGUUACUACAAGUAUUGGCCGUGGUGUACUGGAACCUGGUAGUGAAUUUGGCUGGGAAAUAAUUUAGGUUUUGAAGAACCUAGUUUGUGGUAACGAUAGUAGGUAGGAUACUGGUAUUGAAAUGCGACUACUAGUACUAACUUGUACGUAGGCUAAAAUUGUCAGUGGGACUUUCUCCCUUUGUGAAAUUGGCUAACAUCAUGGAGUAGCUUUUCGUUGACCUAUUCAUUAAGGAGCAAGGGAAAAAGUCUCGCUGGCCAUGCACUCACUUUCUAGAAGGAUCGGCGUUGCUCGCGUAGGGGCGGGAGGUGAUAAAAGGAGCAAAGGACAAGAAGUGUUCCCACUCUGGGAAUGGAGGUGCGUUGUCAAACAACAAGAUAUCUAUAAUGCCCCGAUUCCAGAGCAGAAGCCCACUGAGAUGUCAACAGACCGGCCGAACAGACAGAGUUUUCCCUAUCCGAACGAAGCGUCAACAAAGCAGAAUAGUAGCAAAGCAAGGCUAAACACAGAAUCAGCCCAAAAACUAUUUCUAGAAGCUACAACUAGCAUUUAUGUAUCAGAGCACCAUAAACAACAAUAAAACUACCCUCGUGGCCUAAGUUAACUUAUACAAAAUAACUCACUAGAAAGCGAUAACCUGAAUCAAUAUUAUUCUAACAUGCCUGUAUAGAAGUAAAGCGCGGUACUGAAGAUAUCUAAUAUAUGCAUCAACUUUAAAAGCGGUGCACCACACAAAGUAUGCAUCAUCUAGAAUACUAAUGAUAACUGCAAGAUAUUACUCACUCAUAUGCAUGCGACCCAAUCAACACACUGUGUUCUAAUCGUAAACUGACUAACUCGUAGGUCUCAUAUGUGAUGAACAAGAGACAAAGUGACUAAAGUAUGCAUCAAUACUAAUACUCAUAAAUAAAUAUAGUAAGAGCACCCAAUCGUAGCGACCGGCCGACUUAGAGGUUCGGUCAAGCCUGCGCCCGCCUAGUGCCCGAAAUCGCACUCCCGCAGGUGCACCGUUGACAUCUAGGCUCUGUCCCUAGCGCAAACACCACUCCCGCAGGUGGGUCGUCUUCCUAAGGGCACACAUCUCUCUGCUAUAACUGGCCAGCGUUCGGAGCGACACUCGAAGGGGAGCGACCCUAUCGAGUCUAAUAGCGAGUAUCUCAGUCAAACUCAAUAUGGCUCUGUAGGCUAUGAUCUAUACAAUGAUCAAAAGAAUCACAAGAACCAAUCUGAUGCCCUCAGCACAAUUAAAGAGUGUCAACUAAUGCAUAUAUCACAAUAGCACAAUCAUAUACUUCUCAAUGUCUAAAACCUCUCUACUACCACCGUGCUAACCCACAAUAUCCAUCACAUGUAUCAUAGCUUGAACAAUGCAAUAAUCAGUGUAUGUCAUAUAAUUCUAUGCUCGUAAUGUCCAAACAGUCUAUUGUAAUAUAUGCAAUGUAAACAGUAGUAGGGACCAAACACUAUAGGCGGCGCAAUGUAUUACUCACAUAAUCUAUAAUCUACACGUGAUAUAUGUUGUACUGUUAUCAUAACCUGCGGUAGUAUUUCAUACUAUUUUUCUUUACGCUUGCUUCUAUAUUAAAAAAAUUCGGUAUACAAUAUUUGUCACGCCCCAAGUUUCAACUCAACCCUGGUUCGCCAACCCGCAUACACAAGAUGCUCUAUGUACAUAAAGCGAUAGUAGUACCUAUAAAGCAUACAAGAGUAACUACAAUCAAGUAAUAGAGCUGGAAAGAAACUGCUAAAACUAAAACGUAAUCCUAUACAUUCAUAGAUCCAAAGAGUACAUAAACACCUCACAAAACUCUGAAAUAUAAAAUAUCCAUCUGUAUGUACAAUGACCAAACACCAAAAGCUAUCUCCAAAAAGAGUACUCCGCUAGCUCUGUAACCAAGGUAGGUAGGGAUUUAACUCACGACUCCUUUAUCUCGAUCAAUGACAGCGAUAGGAAUUGAGGGCUCUGCAAGAAAAAGGAGUAACAAUGCGCGUGAUAACUACUAUAAACAAUUAGUCCUCAGUGGAUAUCGUCACCGACGCUAAUGGCCUACCCACUAAGUGUACAAAAUUGAAAGAAAAGCUGGGUUAAUAAAGGAGAAAAAGUAGUAAAGUUGGAAAGAAAUUUACAGCUACCAUGCCACUACACUACUAAUGCUCAAGUCACACUAUCACUAAAGUGCAUGCAUCAGCUUUUAUCGAACAGACAAAAACUACUCAAGCCAAAGGGACCUCCAUAAGGCAGGUCCAGCCUGUGCCAACCUACUGCUACGCACUACCCUCAGGGGUGGCCGAACUAAAUAGGACGCCCAAAAAGGUUGCUGCGACAUUAACGCACCAAAGGCCAAGCUCCGGGGCGGCACUCGAGGGGUGCCAACCCACCGAAAAAAAUGUGUACUUUGUCGGGCUCAAAUUUGGCUCAUACAGGCUGUAGUCAAUAUAAAUAAUCAAUCAGAUCAGUAAACAGAAGCUCCCAUGCUAUCGGCACAAUCUGAUACAAAAAAUCUAAGAUUUGGGACCAUCGUCAGUCUGGAUGGCACCCGACUAUGCAAAUCAGUAAACUCUACUGUAAAAAUUCACUCGGCAUCUCAGCACAAUCGUAAAUCCAACCUACACUAAUCUGUGCACUCGCAACUCACUAAUAGGGGCGAGAAAGCAGUAAAAACAGUUAACCUAGUUAAUUCCUAAUGAUGGCAAUUAACAUGUUUAGAGUGUAGGUUUUCUCUUAAGUCAAGUCCCAAUUUAGCAAUAAUUAAUCUUUUAAAAACAGGUUUGACAUGCUCCAAAUUCAAAUUUCAUAACUAUAUAUGCAAAUCUAAAAUUUGAGCUAAACAAUCAUGAUGAACAAAACAAUUGCAUGCCGAAAUUACUAAUAGACUUCAGAGGAAUUUCAUUGAAUUCGGUAAACAUCAAUCCACCUAGAGCGCUAAUCCGACUACGGAUCAAACUGGAACUACACAAGCACCUUCUCCUAACUCCAAUUAAUAGGGAAGUGAAGGAAAAAUCCACGAAUCCCUGUCGGACUUAACCGAAUUAAAAGCCGAAUAAGGAUUCUAGUGAAAAGCUUUUCAAAGAGGGUGAUAUGGUUCUCACUAUAUCUCGUUUGAAAGAUGAAUUGCAGCAAUGGGAUUGGACCAUAUAUUUCGACUUCGGAAUCGAAUUUACUUAACCAUGAGUCAAUGCACCUUAAAGUUUACCUGGGGGUAACUUCAAUUCAGCUAACAUUUAGGUGCGGAUCAGCUGGAAUCCCCUAAAUAGCUCGCACAAGAAAGUUGGAGUCAAAACACCCAAAAGAAGUAGCUCAAACAUCCAAUUUCAGCAUUGAAUCAAAAUUACCUUAAUUGGAGCUCAACUCCUUGCAGUUCAGCUGAGUAACUUGCGCCACCAACUUCUCCUAACCAGAUGGUUCACGAGCAUGCCCUAAUGUUGCAGUUGGAAGUAUCAAAAUCCAUUAAUUUCCUUCUCAAAGCCAAGUGCCAUUGCUGAAUUGCGCAUGCUGCUGCUGUUGAAACUGCAACUUGUUGCUGCUGUUGAAACUGCAAUUUCCUUGACCCACAAAGAGAACCAGUGCAAAAAGAGGGUAUAGGGCAAUACAAGAUUGAUCUAAAGUACCUAUGCCAUAGGAUAAGUUCAAUAAUUACCCUUAAAUUCUAUCAUAAAGGUCAAAUAGAGCUCAAGAAUUCAGCUUCAUCAUAAAAACUAUUUUUUUGGUUGAAAACUUCAAUGAAAACUGAAAUUCAGGAAAAACUAGACAUCAAAUCAAUCCAAACAAAGUUCUCACCAACUCUAGAUGAAGAUAAGAUCACUCCUAACCUUUCAAAAGCUCAGCUACAUAGGUAUAUUAAAAGAAAUUCAAUCAAGAAUUCAGCUUGUUCAAAAUCAGCAUAAAACUUCAAUUUCAGCGACCUUCACCUUUUCAGCAAUUAAACACGACUUACCUGGUCAUUUUCUGAAUUAAAACACUCCUCAUGUUCACCUCUUCUCCGAGAAUACGAACAAUCAAUUCCCCAGCAAUUUGGAUUUCGAAAUCUCUCAAAAUUCCAUCUUGAACUCAGCUGCAGGCUGCUGAAAUUCUGCUGCUGCAGAAUGUUAAGGUUGAUGUUGAUGUUGCCGCAGCUCCUAGGACUCGCAGGAAGGAGUACAGCUCAAGGAGAAAAGGAGAACGUAACCAAGGUGAUCCUCGGCUCCAAAACACUGAAAACCUCCAAUUUAAACUGAAAAAUCACCGCAUAAUAGGUUGGAAUUGGAUUAAGAACAAAUAAAAUCAGCAUAUAGCCAUUUCGGUUGGACUGGAUCAAAACCCAAAAUUUCCUCAAUAUUAACCCUCCAAAUAAACUCAAACGACUUCCCCACCAUCUCUGGAUGAAGAUAAGCUCACUCCCAACCUUCCACAAGUUCAGGUAAAAAGCAAAAACCAAAGGAAAUCCAUCAAAACUCAAGGACAUGCAAAAAUUCCACAGGUUCUCAUUUCGGUUUGUAAAGCUCAAUGCAAAUAGAAAUUCACACCAUACCAAUCAUUAAUUCAACUCAAUUAAACUCCCCUCCUGUUCUACGUGAAGAUGCUCUUGUCCCCAACUUCUCAAAAGAUCAUGUAGCAAGGUAGAUUAAAAGAAACUAAAUCAAAACUCAGCUCAACCAAACAAAUCAGCAUAAGCUCCAAUUUUAGCAACCUUCACUAAUUCAGCAAUUAAAUCCAAUAGACCAGAAAAUUUGCUGAAGUAGAUCACUUCUCAAGUUCUCUUCAAAUUCUACCUGUGCAUGAACUCUUCCAACAUCCCAAAGCCUCGAAAUCCCCUCAAAUACCAAGAAGAAAGAUGCUUGACUAUGCUGUCAGGCUGCUGUUGCUUGCUUAAAUUUGCUGCAGCUUGUUGGCUGCUAGUGCUGAGAUGCCCAACCAGCAGAGAUGAAGAGGGAAUAGGAGGAGUUCGUGAUGAAGGGUUUGCUGAUAUUCCUUGCUCCAGCUUGCAGUGAAGAAGGGGAAGAAGAAGAAGAAGUCCACUGGUGCUGCAACUAGAGUUCCUUACUGCCGCUGCUAGUGGACUGCUGUUGCUAGUUUGGUAUCCUGUGCAGGGAGAGUAGGCAGCGAGAAUGGAGAGGAGCAAGAGAAGAGCAAAAGUAGAAGUUUUAGAAGAGGGAGGAGGAGUCCACUUUCAGUUUGCUACAGGAAAAAGACUCCAAUUAGCUAGGUUGGUGGGGAAAAAUAAGUUGAGCCUUGGCUCAACAACAAGCAACUAAACUUGAUCCAGCAGGAAUUUAAUUCCAAUUCAGGAAUAUUUGUGACAUCAAUUUCAUGUCCAAAUCAAUUCCAAUUCAUUCUGACACUAUCUAGAAGUGUCAAGUAAUUCAAUAACUGUAAUUGUUUCGACAAAACAUACCUUAAAUUUUUCGGAACACUACAAGACAACCUAAGCACCCUCGAUCCCAGGGCAGGGCUAGGAGCACAUCGACUGGCGGCCAAUAACAGAGGAAGCCUCGCUGCGUGAUUUGCAGUAAGGCACAUUGGGUGUCUGCCUGCUCUCGGCGAGCGGGUGGAUGGUAUGAAUGCGGGCAAGAGGGGCACAUUCGAGCCAACUAUCCCAAGAUUGACCCUAGCAAUGAUUGUUACUUCUGUCCCCUCCACUCCUCGCCAGAACUAGGGAAGUGCAUCGGCAGUUGCUUUAUCUGGGUGCCCUUGUACUUCUAAAUAGCCUAAGAGAGUAUGCUAGGCUUCUGGAGGUCGGGUCUAUGUGAUGACCCAACAAGCAGAUCCACUAGAGGAGAAUUUGGCAGGUAGCACAACUGUUUACGAUUUUCAGGCUAAAAUAUUAUUCAACACUAGAACGGCUCAUUCUUUCCUUCUUUCCUUGCUGAGGACUUUUUGAUUACCCAUGGGAUUGCGGUUUAGUUUAUAGACUCUAAAUGUUUGGUUGGUGUGCCUGGUUACCAGGUGCUAGUGGUUGAGGAGUGUCAAUCUUGGUUGAUUUUGUUGGGUGAGAAGUUUCCUAUAGACAUAAUGGUCAUUUGGUUGAAGCAGUGCGACAUCAUACUUAGGAUGAAUUGCCUCACAAGUAUUAGCUACGAUCUAUUGUUUAUAUCGGACUUUGAUCCUAGCACCACCUGGGGAGGUGGAAGUUGUUUAUUUGGGAUACGAGAGAGAGGUGUUCCUAAGGAUGAGUUUAGAAUCCUAAGUAGAGCCAACCGUAAAUAGGUGUGUAGCUUAUCUGGUCAUGGUCUUUGACACCCGCAUUGAGGCACUUUCUCGGAGGAGAUUUUGAUGGCUCAAAAGUUUUCCAACACUCCCUGUUGAGUCGCCGGGGAUGCCUUUGGAUCGAGAGAUUGAGUUCGCAGUAGACUUGGCUCCUGGUACCACACCUAUCUCAAAGGCGCUUUACUGAAUGGCAUUUGCUGGGCUUCUUUAGGCCUAGCAUGUUCUGUGGGCCACAUUGGUUCUUUCUUGAAGAAGAAAGAUGGUUAUUUACAGCUCUGCAUCAACUGCUGGGAACUAAACAAGGUCAGGAUAAAGAAGAGGUACCCUUUUCCGCGGAUCGAUGAUCUCUUUGAUCAACUUCAGCGGUUGCUAGCGUACUCCAAGAUCGAUACACAAUUGGGGUACCAUAAAUGCUGCUAGAGCAUUAGUCAAUCCAAAAGGCAUCACUGUGAACUCAUAAUGCCUAUACCGUGUCCUGAAAGCCAUCUUGGGAAUAUCCUCAGCCUUCACGUUUAAUUGGUGGUAACCUGAUUGCAGAUCAAUCUUUGAGAAAACACAAAAUCCUUAUAACUGAUCGAAUAGAUCGUCGAUGCGUGGCAAAGGAUACUUGUUCUUAAUGGUCACUUUAUUCAACUCCCGAUAAUCAAUAAAAAGCCUAAGUGAACCAUCAUUCUUCUUCACAAAUAACACCGGCGCUUUCCGAGGCAACACACUCGGUCUCACAAAACCUUUCUUCAUCAAAUCCUGAAGUUGCGCCUUUAACUCUCGCAGCUCAAUCGAAGCCAUUCUCUAAGGUGCCUUCGAGAUCAGUGCAAUUCUAAGAACUACGUCAAUUACAAAAUCUCCCUAUCUGGUGACAUGCUCAACAGCUCAGGGGGAAACACAUUCGGGAACUAGUGGACUAUAGGGAUAUCCUUGAUUCCUAGUGCCGCCGUAGGCACCUCUACUACCCUCGCCAAGAAGGCCACGCAUCCUCUACUUAUCCUCUACCUCGCUCUGUCGAGAUCAUCGUAGCGAAAAGAGUACUCUAACAACCUCGAUACACAAACUCGUCCUGUGCUGGCUCGCGGAAGGUUACCGUCCUCGCCAUGCAAUUAAUCGUCGUGAUGUACCUCGCCAGCCAAUCCAUCCCGAGCACCACAUUAAAAUCCUGUAGCUGCCGUAAGACUAACAUGUCUGCCGGCAUGAUUCAAGGUCCUAGCUACACUGAACAAGAACAACAGCACUCCUUCACGUGCAGAACAUGAUCAAGAAUCUGCACCUCACGUGCACGUGGCAACGGCCAUAUCUCUAGUCCAUAUAGUAAUGUGAAUGCUCUACUAAUGAAUGAAUGUGAUGCACCGGUAUUAAAUAAUGCAUGCACUCUAAUACCAGGUAAUAAAAUGAUACCUACCACCACAUGAUCGACUGUAGAAGAGUCCUCAACCUGUGCGGCAUAGACCUGACUGCUCUGGUUCUGCUAUCUCCUGUCUGAAGUGCAGGAAGGCAGAGCCUGGUUGGUCUGUGAAUACGUCGGUGGUGCUCUUGUCCUCUACUGCGGUGAAGGAGGGGCUGAUGCCAAUAAUGGUGCUGAUGAAGCCGUAAGGGGACACGACGCCCGCAUGUGCCUUGACUGUCCACAUCAGUAACAGCGCCCCCUCUACUGGUCACAGGUGUAGGGAGGAUGCUGCCCUCUACAGAAAAUGCACCAAUCAGACUGUGACUGCCUUUGCUACUGCCUAUGAGAUCCACCAGACCUCUGUCGCCCUGAACAACCAUGACCCUGGGAGUGAGAUCGCGACGGUCGGUCUUCUCUCACUGGUCUGUCAUCCCUCCUCCGGCACUGGCCGCUUCUUUUCUGAACUUUGCCCUGAUACUAGAACUCCCUCUUUUAGCAUCGUAGCGCCCCGUUCUACCCACAGAGCCUGCUCAGUAGCCGGAUCCAGGGUCUGCAACCUCUGCCACUGAACCAAAGUAUAAAUCUCCGGACGUAGCCCUCUCUCGAACAGAUACACCCUGUGCAGCUCGUCCUUCGCAACGAAUGGCACGCAGUUAAGCAACCGUGUGAACUCCCUGAGGUACUUCUGCACUGAUCUGUCUCCCUGCUGUGAAUUCUUUAGAUCUUCUUCGAGUUUUUGUUUUAUGUUGUUCAGGAAAUAGGUCCCAAACAGUAAUCCAUGAAACUCAUCCCAAGAUAUUUGUCGGGUGCCUCGAAGUCCACUGGGUCUAGUCCUCCGCCACCAUGCAUCCGCAUCUCCCUCCAAACAAUGCACUACCAUGUGUACUUUUUCUCUCUCUGGGAUGAAGAUGUCCUGAAAUAGCUUAUCCAUGGCUGCCACCCAAGCCUCCACUUCCCAAGGGUGAGUAUCAUGGCCAGCAAAUCGAGGUGGAUCAAAUCUUCGAAAACGGGCCAACCGCUCGAUAAUUCACUCCUGCUCCGCCUUUGUCAAUGGCUCAUCCCCCCUGGGUACCUCUCUACUAUGCGACAGCGCUGUCAGUGUUGUGAUCGUCGGAGGUGCAGAGGCUGCGAGAAUCUCUGCUGUUGUAGUCGGUUGUGGCAACUAAGGUUCUCUAGCUUGCGGUGCUGUACUAAACUGCCGUGUCAACACCUCACACAACCUCUGUAAUAGUGCACCUUGCUGCUUAGUAACCUCUGUCAAGGCAGCCAACUGCUCCCGAAGAUCGAGUGGUGCACUUCGUCCUGCUUGCUCCAGCUCUAUGGGUGGCGCUGGUGUGGCCUGUGUCGGUGGUCGAUCUCUGCGCGUCAUUCUGAUCACCUACAAUAGCACAAUAUAAGUCACACAUAGUAACUUAGCACUCGACCCAAUCCAGCGAGAGUCCAAAACAUCUCUUCACCUCUGUGUAAUUAUGUCGUCUGCAACCAACAUAAUUAUCCAAUAGUGGUAGACAUGCCGAUCACUUUUGCAUUCCUUUUAAAGAGUUUAUACAAUUCAAUCAUUGACCUUCUCUAAAAGUCAUGACUCUUACGUCUUACUUUCCUAAGGUCUGCCAAAGGUCUAAGGUUUUCUAAGUCCCAUCGACCUAUCCCUAUACUAUGAUACCAACUUAAUUUGUCACGCCUCGGGUUAUAACAGAACCCGGGCUCGUUAACAAAUCCGCUGCGUACACGGGAAGCCCCGUGCCCACGAAGCGCUAGUACCUGCUCCAAGUAUAAUAAAGCCAUACAGAAGAGCCAAAUAGAGCUAAAGUAUAAAAUUAGCUAAACACUGAACUGUACAAAAACAUCAUCCGGAUACAAGAUCCAAUACUUAGAUAUAAAAAUAAAUACAACCGAUUGGCAAAAGCCAAACCCAAAAUUUACAGCAGUCUAGAAAAAAUAAUAUCCGGGUCCAGUAGUCCUAAGCGAGUACGUCAUCGACAAUUACAACCCACCCAGGUCUACCAGAGGCAUAAAGGGUAAAGUGGUAAAGAACAGAUAAGAACUGCUGAAAGGAAAAUUACCACUACUAUAUAUGCCUCCACACUAGUAUAGAACGAGUAAGUGUAAAAGGAAAGCAAUGCAUCAACUCUAAAAAUCUGCCUAGAAUAAUCCAAUCAACCGACUGGCUCGAAAGAGCAGUUCCGCCUGCACUAGCAUCACAUCUGAUCUCACUAACAACCUGUGGAUCGCCGACGUAGAACAUACCCAAAAGUAAUCAAGCCGCCUAUGUAACAUACCGGAUUUUAAAUAUAAAAGAGAAAAAUAAAUAAAAAUAGUAUGAGAUACUAUUUUAUUGGAUUUAGAGAAGUGAAAUAUUGGUUGGGAACGACCUGUGCUGAAAUCGGAGCGAAAACAGAAGAUUUAGAAUUUUCUGUUGGAAGCGGGACUAAUAAAUUAGCAGAAAAUGUACAGUCUCAGAAAAUUAUGAAAAUUAGCGGAGAUGUCAGAAAUAUUUUUAUGAGGCUAGAUUUAAAGUUUUAUAUUUUUCUGACACCCGUAGAGUGAGAAAUAAAAUCCGAAAACUAUCUGAUAAAGAUUGCAGUUCGGCACAAUUUUUGGCGACCAAACGGGGUCGAAACUGAAAUAUUAAAAUUUUUUUGGACUUAUUAAGUAAAACCGAGCAUGCCUGUCAAAUUUGAGUUCAAACGGACGUUCAGAAGGGCUCCGGCGAAAAAUAAACUGCUCGAAGUGAAUAGUGCGUAGUUGAGGGGCAAAAUGGUAAAAAGGGUUUAAAACCCCUUUUCUUCUUCUCCUCCCAACCGUGGCUGGCCCAAGCCGACACACCACACCACGCAUACACAAGAACACACACGCAUGGAAAGGAAAGGAGAGAAAUCUCUUUCUCUCCUAAAUCUCUCCAAAAAGAAUGGAUUUGGUGAGAUUGAAGUUGAGGUGGAUCGUCUUCGUCUUCUUCAUCUUCUCCAUGGUUUGAGCUCAUUUUGAGGUGAGCUUCUUGAGCCCUUUAAUGGUAGAUCUUUAAUGGCUUGGUUUAAAUACCUUAUAAAUGAAUUUAGAGGAGUCCUAGCAUGCUAUCUAGAUGAUUAAUGCUUGAAUCAUGGAUCAAUUUAGUGAUUUUUGCAUCAGUUGUACGCUAGGACUCCAAAAUGCAACUUUUAAAAUAUGAGGGUUUGAUCUCAUUUGACCCUUCGUAAACCUAAUUGUAGGUAACGAAACGCGUUGGCGAAGACGGUUCGGCAAUCCGACGAGCCGUUACAAAGUUAUUAAAGAAAUAGACGUUUAGCGCUUCGGUCCGCCGAGAGGCCGAGGCGACGUCGUAAAAUCAUGGAAAUGGAUUUGAGCAUCGUGGCACAUAACCGAAGACCUAUAAUUUUCGGGGCGCAAGCGGAGCGGCUUGAGGCGCAGUUGCCAGUAUCGGCCGUGCCGGAUUACGGGUGCCGCGGAAGGCCGAUUGCAAGUGUCGACAAGCAAUCGGAACGCGAAUUAAGGUGGGUUGGUUUACCUGAAGGACACUAGGUCGCCUUUAUGUCUAAGAAACUAGAAUCCAUGUUGAUGCCAUAUAAAUGUAAAUGAAGCAUGUAAUGAAUGCAUUUAGCUAAAUAAAUGCAUGUGAUUAGUAUGAUGUAAAUGCUAAAAUAGAAUCAUUAUGAGCAAGUUACAUAAUGCUAAAUAUGUAAUGUAGAAAUGCUAAAUGCAUUGUUAUGAGCAAGUUACAUAAUGCUAAAUAAUGUAAUAUUAGAAAUGCUAAAUGCAUAAUGAGCAAGUUAUAUGAUGCAUGCUUAUAGUAUGAUGUAAAUGCUAAGUAGAUGCAUAUAAAUGAUAUAUGAGAUUAUAAACGCAUGAUUAGCAUUAAUGAGAUCAUAGAUGCAUGCUUAGCAUUGUGAGAUUAUAUAUGCAUAUGAACUUGGUAGAUAACUCUAGUUGAUAGAGAGAUAACAUUGGAAAUGAGAAUUGAUAACUCUAGAAUGAGUAUAAUGCUUAAUUGGACAAUUAGUAUGUGAAUUAGAUGCAGUGUCAUCUAACUUAGAGUUAAGGAACAUAGGUCGUGAGUAGACCUAGAAUCAAAUAGAUCGAGUGGCAUCUAACCUAGUGUUAAUAAACUAGGUCGUGAAAUGAAAAGUACUUAACCUAGAGUCAAGUGAAUCUAGGUCGGAAAGAAUAAUGAUCCUAGUGUAAUAAACGUAGUUAAGAAUGUGAAAGCAAUAACCUAAUGGGUGAACUAGGUUGAGAAAGGCUUAGACCUAGGAGGUCAGUUCCAUAGGUUAAGACCAACCCCUAUGUGAUGUGAAAUGGAUUCCGGAAUCCAAGGCUAAAAGGAUACACCAAAGUGUGUCGGGUGUGUGCGACGAUUUCGCCGCCCAACGGGCUAAUGAACCAUUGUCGUGGCGUGUGCGACGAUUUCGCCGCCGGAUGGUUAGCCAGUUUGUGGAUCCUACGCCUGUUGACUAAAUCACUGUCGUGGCGUUGUGCGACGAUUUCGCGCCGGGUGGCUAAGUCAUGGAUCUAGGCCGUUGUUGGUGAGGUGCGAUUCGUUCGCCGCCAGACGGCUAGGACAGGAGUACGGUGAGCUGUUGCCAGCUGAGGUGCAUGUGAGCGUUCCUCACCUCGAACUAGACAGUGCGCGGACUAUCCGCGAUUGAUUGAUCAAGACCGAGUCGGGUGGCAUAGAGAACUAAGGUAAGAGAAACUUAGGAAAGAAUGGCCAGUAGAAAAGUGCGGACAAAGUGUAAGAAUAAAGAUAAGUAAAAAUAAAGAUCCGCUAAGGAAUAAGAAUAGCUGAUAAGUAAAGAAAGGUUACAAGUAAAGAAUAGCUAAGAGCUAUAAAGUAAACAUUAAAUGCAAUAGUAAAGAAUGAUUAGAAAUAGUAGCGUUAAAAGUAACCUACUUGCAUGAUUACAGGAAUUGCAUAUUGCAUUUCGUGAGGCAUGACAUGUAUUUCAAUUGAAUAUAUAUCUGUUGUAUAUUGUUGAACUAACAUGUUGGCAGUUGCCUCUUAGACCAUGUUGGUUGAGCUGGUUCCUUGGUUGGUUAAACCCACUGAGGACUAUGAACAAUAGUCUCACCCCCGGUGUUGCUGUUCUUUGGGUACAGGGUUACACACGUGUGCAGCGCCGGGGUCACAAGGCGGAGGCGUUAGUUCUGGGGCAGAUAGCGCCCUACCAUAGAACGAGACCAGAUCUAGCAUCACCCCGUCUAUAUACUUAGGGGUAUAAGAAAAUGAAAAGAAUACAAUGUAUCAAAUCUGUAGUAGUAAAAUGUUGUAAAUAACUUAGAUUGCUUUGGGAUGAACAAGGAAUCGGAUUGAUGAUGUAAAAACUAUGAAAGUGAAUGAAUGUAAUAACUUAAGGAUGUUUAUAUUGUAUGUAUACCUUCACUUGCAAUCUGAUUGAUAUCAUGUUCCUGGUUGGACCUUCGUGAAUUGUAUUGAUUGCGAUGCCUUGGAAUGUACCAGGGGAGGACUCUGUCCGUAGUACAGGGGAAACCCUGUCAUAUUCGCGAUGUCGGCGGGCCGGACCUCGGCCAAAUAGGCGUGGUGCGUCGCGGGUUGACAGUUGUGGUAUCAGAGAUAAAGUAGAGAAUGGGAAUGGCUCUUAACUGACCUAGGAAGACCCUAGGAUAUCUCUCUUUGUUGUUGNNNNNNNNNNNNNNNNNNNNNNNNNNNNNNNNNNNNNNNNNNNNNNNNNNNNNNNNNNNNNNNNNNNNNNNNNNNNNNNNNNNNNNNNNNNNNNNNNNNNAAAACAAGUUUCUAGGGUUUAGAAUCAGUAAAUAUUCAAAGCCUUAAACUUUUAGAUGACCCACAUAGCUUAUUUAUAUGUUUAGAAGACUUAGAAGUAGACUAGGAUUGCAAAAAGUCAUUUUUAAAAACCUGUGUCGUCCUCAAAGACCGGUCUUCUCAAGAAGACCGGUCUGUGAGAGACCGGUCUCUCAAGUGAGGAACUGGUCCCUCACUGCGUGACCAAAAUCACAACGUUCGGGAACCGGUCUCUCAAGCUUGAGACCGGUCCCUCGCUGCGCAACAGAAAUACCAAGGUUCGGGAACCGGUCUCUCAUCAUAGGGGAUCGGUUGCAUCAAAGUUCACGCAGUGAGAACCUUAGGGGAACCAGUCUCUUGACCUCAGGGACCGGUCCCUGAACACAGAAAAGUUCAGUAAAGUAUUUUUAAAGCAAUCUAAGCCUUCUGAACUUAUUCUAAUCAAAUAUCUUCAUCACAAAUGAUCUUUUCUUCAUACCUUAGGUGCCGAACUUUACGAGUGAGUCUUUUUUCUUCAAUUUAGAUCUUUUCUUCAAUCUUCUGCAAUCAACUCUUCAAGACUCCAUUCAACAUUACGAAAUCCGCCAACCUAUAAAAUCCUUAACAGAGUUGGCUUCUGGCGUGUAUCAGACUCCAUUCAUAGCGAUCCAAUAGCUCGUUUCGACCGGUUCAGCUAUUCUGGAACCAAUGGCGCUGACGGAUUUGGGUCCUGAUGCACGAUUUUCGAGAAAAAGGGGUUUGAUUAGUUUCACAUAUAUAAAUAUAUGUGGUUACUUGGUGGAAUGUAAUGAGGGUUGACUUCGUCGCAAAUCGGCGAUCAAAUCAGAUGAAGCGAAAUGGUAGAUUCGAUGCCCUAGUUGUGCUGAACGCGCUGGUGCAAUCCGAUCGAAAACCCUAACCAUAGCCCAACCUACCUCCUCCAGCUAACCCUAGCCAUCACAGCAACCCUCUGCCCUACCCGUGCUCAUGCCCCGGCCGCCAACGAUCAUCCCUGGCUGCCGGAAAAGCAACCAUGACCACCCCUCAACUCUCUCUCCCUCCACAUUCCCUUCCUCUCGGCCGUAGAACUCAGGGAGGCUUCGAAAACCCUAGAAGCUUUAUCCCUCGACCGAGAUUCCCCUCCGAUGCCGUCACCGGCCGUCCCCGCCGUUAGCGCACGCCGUCGGAACCGCCUGCACAAGCUGCAGCCAGCCUGGGCCAACCCAGGACGAGCUGACUUCAACUCGGGGCCCGCUUGUUGGAGGCGCCCUAGAUCGGCCGCCCCGACUUCCUCCGGCCUCCAGCGAUCUCCAGCGCGCGUCCCCGGCCAUCCCCGUGCGCCGCCGGCACCGCCCUAGCUCCCUGCGGCCAACCGCAGUCACCCAGACCGAGCGUGGGUGAUCUUUGCCUAGGCGCACCGCCGCCGCUUCCCGCCGGUCGCGCCGCCCUCCUAGCACCACCGGCGACCUCCCGCUCGCCGCCCUGUCGUCCCCGCACGCUGCCGGCUGCCGCUCACGCCACCUGCCGCCGCCCAGAUCCCGUGCGGACCGAGGCCGAGCCUCCUUGGCUUUCGAGCACCGCCGCCGCCCACUGUCAAGCGCAUCACCUUCCCCUCGGCCUCCAGUGAAGGAUCACCGUCACCCCGAGCUCCUCCGGCCGCCGUCGGGCCGCUGCGGACACGUGGAACCCGAGAGCAAGCCCAGUUUGAUCUCCUCCGCCGCACCACCGGCCGCCUCCCGCCGCCGGCCAGCACCUACCCCGGACCCUUUCGACCGGCCGCACCCUUCCCCGGCCGGACAGCACGCCGUCCGACAGCCGGCGGCCAGCCCUAGCUUUCAUUGGUCAUGUAAGCAUUGUUUUUCAUUCCAGCACUGUAGUUUGGAGUUUUCGAUCACCUUUUCGGUGAUUCGAGGACACCCCGAUGAAUGUGGAAAUGAGCACGAUCAUCCUUGUUUCGUGCUGAACAUCGUGCUCACCUCCGUCGGGGUCAACGGUGCCAUGGUUUGUGUGUUAGAAGCGUUUUAUGUACUAUGCGCGCUAUUCCGCUGAUCUUCGCGUCGUUUGUGCGCUUGCCACAGUGACCUACAGUGCUCCGAAAGGUGAGUAUGGCCUCCGGCAUGCCGAGACCUGUCAGCAGGUGUCUUGUCUUGGCUGAUUGACCAUCCGUUUGCGCUGUCGGGCCAUAAAACCCUGGAAAUCGCAUGAACUAAUGCGAUUUUUUGUAAUCGGAAGGGUUUUUAUGCAAUUGUUUGUGUUGUGGUCGCUGUGGGUAGCGUGUGCGGGAUGUGGGUGACCUCUGGACUGAUUGUCCAAGGCCCCAAGCUCUUGCGAAAAUCGAAAAGUGAUUUCCAGUGCGUUUGUCGGCAAAAUUAGCCGACGGAACGCGUUUUUGGUUCGGAAUUAUUCCGACGGUGCCUGGUGAUGUUUUGUUGUGUUACUGAGCCUUGUUGGCUGGUCACUCGCAUCGUUUUGGGGGUUCGGAAAUGACGGGUGAGCGACGGUGGGUUCCGGUGUCGAAAUCGACACUUCCGGGAACCCGAAUCGGAACGAGUAGCGGACGAUAAUCGUUUCGAUGUGAGGCCUUAUGUUUGCUGCCAAGUUCCAUAGAUAAUAAUGUUUAGUGGUAACAGGCGACUCAUAUCAUGAAUUAGUGAGUUCCGGGACAGUUAGUGGGUCCCGGCAGAGUCCCGGUGCGGUUUCGGGACUUCCGGCGUGUUCGGCAAUCAGUUUUGGGAAACUGAUUCCCGUGGUUUCGUUAGUGGGGAUUGUGAAUUAGUGUGCGGUGAUCAUGGGUUGGAUUCUAACCCAGUGGACCCUCCUUAGGUCCGGUUGACGUUCUUUCGCAGUUAGGAGACAGGCGCGACAUGCUUACAGGUGGAUACUUCGAUUCGAAGUUGGUACAGUGGUGCACGCUCGGUGAUAUCCUCUUGCCUUUGUCUUCUGUUGUUAUUAUUGCAUAUAUAUAGAGCCUUGCACCGAUAUUGUUUUUAUUAUACUCUACUCAGAUGUUUCCAUGCUUAGUAUCAUGUGUAGGAGUAGAGUAGUUUAUCUAUAUGUGAUACCUGUGACCUGGUUGGUCAGUUCUCGUACUUCGUACCAGUGACCUAGUUGGUCGGUUCUCGUACUUCGUAUCAGUGACCUGGUUGGUCGGUUCUUGUAUCUUGUAUCUGUAACCUAUUCGGUCGGUAUACCCUGAGGGGUGGGAUUGUCGGUUAAUUACCGACGGAUACACGCGCUUGCAGGGGGCUGGAUUGUAAAUAAUCAGCUUCGAGGGGUUUUCUGCAAAAAGGCAUCUGGCAUAUAUAGAGUUUUAGGGUUUUAGGGUUUCACCCAUGGAAACCCUAACCCUAGCCCAACCUACCUCCUCCAGCUAACCCUAGCCAUCAGUGCAACCCUCUACCCUACCCGUGCUCAUGCCCCGGCCGCCGACGAUCAUCCCUGGCUGCAGGAAAAGCAACCACGACCACCCCUCAACUCCCUCUCUCCCUCCACAUUGCCUUCCUCUUGGCCGUAGAACUCAGGGAGGCUUCGAAAACCCUAGAAGCAUUAUCCCUCGACCGAGAUUCCCCUCCGGUGCCGUCACCGGCCGUCCUCGCCAUCAGUGCACGCUGUCGGAACCGCCUGCACAAGCUGCUGCCAGCCUAGGCCAACCCAGGCCGAGCUGACUUCAACUCGGGGCCCGCUUGUUGGAGGCACCCUAGAUCGGCCGCCCCGACUUCCUCCGGCCUCCAGCGACCUCCAGCGCGCGUCCCUGGCCAUCCCCGUGCGCCGCCGGCGCCGCCCUAGCCUCCUGCGGCCAACCACGGUCACCCAGACCGAGCAUGGGUGACCUUUGCCUCCGCGCACCGCCGCCGCUUCCCGCCGGUCGCGUCGCCCUCCUAGCACCUCCGGCGACCGCCCGCUCGCCGCCCCGGGGGUCAGGUUUUCAAAAAAAAAAAUUUAGACCCUUCCGCUGUAUUUUGAAACUAAAAAGGAACCCCGUGGCGUGACAAGAGAACAAGUACUAAACAAUGACAUUUUACUAGUUGUGCUUGUCGACAUCAUGUUGUUUAUACUUAUACACAUUCAUGUUAGAAUAGCAUUUACACUUAUGCAAAUCCAUGCUAAGUAGAGGCAUAGUAGUUUACAUGCUCUAUUUAAGUUUAGCAUACAUGUUGUUCAUUCUAUUGUUAGAACUUACUGCUUUUACCUUAUGGCCUAGUGGUGCAUUUUCGCUGAGGUCAGCAAUUGCCCACUGGGAACUAUUGUUUAAUAGUUCUCAGGCCUCCUGUUUUGUUGUUUUUCUUAUAGAGCCUUCCACUCAGGGAGAGGCUCGGGAUCGCGAGAAAAGAAUCACCUCGAGCUAGUUAGCAAGGGAUUUUACGAUAGGUGGUUCACCUCUCUUUUUGUUUUUAUUUUGGAGAGGAUGAGAGUUUUCGUACCCAUGUAUAGAGACCACCAUUUUUGGAUAUUAUAGCACUUGUAUUUGAGACUUAGUGAUGUUCUACCUUAUAUUUUACUUUGGUGGAUUAGUUCUCUUUUCAUUCUACUUGUCAUUAGAAUCUAGUUGUACAUGUGCUCUGAUAUCUCUAGAUACUUGUUAUUUGUUGUUUUAACUAGAUUAUUGUUAUAGAUGCCUUAUAUAUGUAGGCAUAUGGCGGGUCUGGGCACGCAUCGGGCGGGCCUCUGUUGGGUCCCGGAGCGUGACAGAUUAUUUUGGUAUCAGAGCCUAGGGUUGAGUUUUAGUGAACCUAGCAAACCUUAGGCCGGUUGGACUAUAGGAAAUAGGCUCGUGAGAGACGGGGUCUAUAUGACUUGUAAGAGAAAGUAUCAUGAUUGGGUUUUAUUAUAACUCUAAAAAGUUGGAGUUUAAUCGAAGUGUAUAGCUUCUGACUUCGCGGAGGGUUACGUUGGCGGCCGACAACGUAACAUCGGGAGUUAGUGGUAAAGAACACUUCCUUACUUUCGCAUGAUUUGGGUAUUAUUUGCUUGAGUGGGGUUGCGAUAGCAUGGGUUUUUCUAACUUGCGCUUUUAUAUUGUUAUAAUGAUGAUGCCGACUACUCGCUCUAAAUCUGUUGGGGUGGAGAACGCGGCAAAUCUUAAGGAGGUGGAGACCUCCGCCACUUUCGGAUCUAGUGAGGUCAGUGACUUGAGGACCCAGCUUGCGGUCCACACUGACUUAGUGGCACAGCAGGCGGCGGCGGCUCAGUGACAGGCCGAUGUGGCACAUUGGCAAGAGACACGGAUAAAGCGAUUGGAGGAUUUGCUUCAGUAGCAGGCGGCUGCUAGGGAGGUUCAGAUUCCCACACCACCCGCGCGAGUUGAGGAUGUUGCACCGAAGGUGCCGUCUCCCGCGCCCGGUUCUUCGUGGGCGGCACCUUUGGUUUAGCCUCGGGAGGAGGUUGCCGCGGCAUCGCCAGCUCAGGUGCCUCCGGCGGGGGUAGUUUUUCCUCUGAUGGUUGCUGGAGAGGAGCGGGACUAGCUCAUGAAUCGCCUUAAUGAGUUUAGGAGGUGCAAUCCUAGGAUUUUUUACGGAGAGAAGGCCGACCACUGGAUCGUGGAGAAGUGGUUGGUGCAUAAGGAGAAGCUUUUCCACGACACCUUUGUGGAGGAGAGAGACCAAGUUUGGCUCGCCACUCAUCACCUGGACGGCGAGGCCUAUCGUUGGUGGUUGGAUAUUCAAGACAACACUAACACCAACCUUGCGGCUAUUGCCUGGAAAAAGUUUAAGGAGCUUCUGUUGAAGCAUUACUUCCCCGACAGUGUCAAGAGACAGAUGGAGAAGGAUUUGCGUGGCAUGCACCACGAGGAUCGGACUGUAGCCGAGUACGAGAAGGAUUUGCGCGGCAUGUGACAGAUUAUUGCGUGCCCUUCGUCGUGCGGGACGACAAGGACAAGGCCCGCAUUUUCGAGCGUGGGCUUCGGCUGACGAUUUUUCGCUUUGUGUAAUCCUCCAACCAGGAGGUGGUGAACCAUGCGCUCAUUGUGGAGCGCGACGCGGCGGAUGUGCAGGAGCGGAGAGAGGGCUUGGAUAAGGGUAAGGGCAAAAGGCCCGCGGCUGAGGGUACGAGUUAGACGCACUUUAGAAGGCCGCUGAAGCACCCUAGGAGCCAGUCGCGAGGACGUGGCACGUCGGCACAGUGAGGAGGUUCUAAUCGUCGCCGACCUCCCCAGUGUGUGAUCUGCGGUGGUCCUCACAUUUAUGGCUGGCAAAUAAGCAAGCCGGCUCGCGUUCGACUCGCGUUCGACUUGAUAUUUGGCUCGCUCGAGCUCGACUCGAAAUUAAAUGAGCCGAGCUUGAACAAAAAAAAAGGCUCGAAAUUCAUUUCAAGCCGAGCUCGAGUAUUACUUGGCUCGUUCGAAUUAGGCUCGAAAAGCUCGAAAAGCUCGAAAAGCUCGAAUAUAUAUAUAUAUAUAUAUAUAUAUAUAUAUAUAUAUAUAUAUAGUAGAGCUACUAUGCUAUCGAAAGAAUAGAGAUCUGGUGCUUUCGAUUUUUUGAUUCUUAGAUCAAUCCCUUUAAUCGUUUCUUAUCUUUGGAUUAAUAUUAUUAUUACCUUGUAGGGACCACUCAAUCCUAAGAGUAUUAUUUAAUCCUAGGGGAGACCGCAAUCAUCCUAACCAUACAAUUUUUAAUCAAAGGGUCAAAAAUUCAAAAACAUCAAAUCCUCUAUAUUUUCGAUAGUAUAAGUAGUUCACACUAAUAAUAAUAUAUAUAUAUAUUAAAAAAUAUAUAAAUAUAAUAUAUUUUAAUUAUAUAUAGGCUGAGUGAAUAAUCUGAGUUUAGUUAAAAUUAGAACAAUAUUGUUGGCCCAUAAAAACAAACCCAAUAGACAAAUAAAAGAGCAAAAUUUUACUAAAUUUAUAUAUUUUUUCUUUCUUUCUUUCUUUCUUUCACAGAGCUCUAAAUUUUUAAUAUGUUUCUCUCUUUCUCUUUUUCUGUCUCUCACCCUAAGUGGCCAAGCCGGAAGCCCUCUAAGUUACCAAGUAACAUCAUAUGCCCGUCGUUGCCUACCUUGCUAUUAAUUGUAUGCUUGAGAAAAUAUACAGAAUAUUUUUGAAGUAAAAAAUUAUUAUUCAUAUAAAAUUUUAAUUUUAGUUAUAUAUGAUUGGAUAGUUAAAUCUAAUAUUUAUCUAUAUAAUUUAUUUAUUUUUGACUGCAUAAAUGAAAAUGAAUAAUAUAGAGAUUGAAGGCGGAAGAAAAGACAUGUGAGGCUGAAAAAAUUAGAUAUUCAACUCAUAAAUUAUUUUUUUUCAUAUUAUAAUACUAUAUUUCAUAUAAUUAUUUUGUACUUUGAACUAUUAGACAUAUUUUUGUAUCAAAUUAUAGAUAAUGUUCUAUACAAAUUAAACUAUUGAUCGUAUAAUGUUGAGAAUUUCAAGCGGCUCGUUCAGGGUUCGAGCUUGCUCGACUUGAAAUUGGGCUUGCUCGAGCUCGGCUCGAAUUAAUUUCAAUCCAAGCUUGAGCUUAAAUUUAGGCUCGAAAUUCAUUUCAAGCCGAAUUUGAGCCGAGGUAAGCUCGCUCGAGCUCGACUCGUUUCCACCCCUACUCACAUUCCACCGCAGUGUCCACAGCGGGGCGGCAGGUGUUUCCUUUGUGGCCAGGAGGGCCACUUCCGGACCGAGUGUCCGAGGGGUUCAUCACCGGCAUCGUCUUCUGCAUCGGCACUGGCAUUACCAGCUGCUACUCAGGGGACUCCAUCGGCACACUACCAGCCUGGGCGACCACCCGUCCAGCGACAGACUGAGAGGUCACGACAAGCCCCGAGCGGGCGCAUGUAUGCUGCUCAGACAGAGGAGGCGGCAGCAGCCGAGAAUGUGGUGGCAGGUAUCAUUUUAAUCAAUGGCAUUAGAGUUCGAGCAUUAUUUGAUACCGGUGCAUCGCAUUCAUUCAUAGAUCGGCUGUUUGCCGAGUUGCAUGGCAUCCCGUCAGUUUUCUUGUUGCAUCCAGGACGUGUUGUAGUCCCCGACCACUCCUUGGAUAUUAGAGAGUUUUACCCCAGUUGCCCUGUUCGGGUAGGAGAUUGGAUCAUGCCCGUAGAUUUACUUGCUUUGCGCAAAUUUGAAGAGUUUGAUGUGGUUUUGGGUAUAGAUUGGUUGACAAGUAUUUCGCCACUAUCGAUUGCGAGAAUCGAAUGGUUACAUUUAGAGAACCGAGGCAGACGGAGGUUGUCUUUAGAGGAUGCCAGAGUUCGCUGUUUGCGAUGACGAUCAGCUUGUCUCGAGCUAGGUAAUUGAUCAGUAGGGGUUGCAUAGCCUAUUUGGCUAGUGUUGUGUUGAGGGGUGAGGAUGACACCCCUAGGAUUGAGGAUAUCCCGGUAGUACGGGAGUUUUGUGAUGUGUUUCCAGCGGAGCUACCUAGUAUGCCACCUGAUAGAGAGAUUAAGUUUGUGGUAGAUCUCAUCCCCGAAACUACUCCAAUCUCAAAGGCGCCCUAUAGGAUGGCACCAGCAGAGUUGAAAGAGCUGAGGGCACAACUGCAGGAUCUUUUGGAUAAAGACUUUAUUCGCCCGAGUGUUUCAUUGUGGGGAGCACUAGUAUUGUUCGUUAAGAAGAAGGACGGAUCACUUCGCUUGUGUGUGGACUAUCGUGAACUUAAUAAAGUCACGAUCAAGAACAAAUAUCCGUUACCGAGGAUCGAUGAUUUGUUUGAUCAACUUCAGGGAUCAAGUGUGUAUUUCAAGAUCGACUUGCAGUCGGGAUACCACCAGUUAAAGAUCAAGCCUGAGGAUGUAUCGAAGACGGCUUUCAGAACACGGUAUGGACAUUAUGAGUUUACUGUUAUGCCGUUUGGGCUUACUAAUGCCCCGGCAGCUUUUAUGGAUCUAAUGAACCGUAUUUUUAAGCCUUAUCUAGACAGGUUUGUCGUGGUGUUCAUCGAUGACAUUUUGGUCUAUUCCCGAAGUGAUAAGGAUCACAAGGAGCAUUUAAGACUUGUACUUCAAAUGCUUCAGGAAAAGAAGCUCUUUGCCAAAUUAAAGAAAUGUGAAUUUUGUCUUAGAGAGGUGACAUUCUUAGGACAUCUGAUUUCGGGAUCGGGUAUAGUCGUGGAUUCUAAGAAGAUUGAAGCUAUCAAGGAUUGGCCCAGACCGACGAGCGUCACGGAAAAUCGGAGCUUCCUUGGAUUGGCCGUGUCACGCCCCGGGACCGAUACCAAUUUGGCCCGACCCGAGCACGUCAAACAGACGCCGAACGGACAGAGUUUCCCCUAUCCGCCCAAGGCUCAUCACAUGUACAUUUUCAUCAACAGAGAAAAGCACUAGCGGAAACAUAUAUAAACGGCUUACACGAGGGUAAGCAAUAGCCAUUAGUGAAAGAAAAAGAAAACUAAACAUUCACUUGUACUAUGAUUCAUUUUUGAUCAUAUACAUUGCAUUCAUCUUGUUCAUUUUCAAAUUCCUUACAUUUCAUUUCAUCAUUUCUUUCUUACAUCACAUUUACCUCAAAAUACACAUUACAUUCUUUUCUUUACAUCAUUUACCAUCAUGUACAAAAGAUGAUCAUAGGGUACUUUACUACAAAAUGAAACCCAACUUUGGUGGCCUCUGACUAAGGCGCGAUACCUUUACCUCGGUCGCUCGCCGGCUCGCUCGGUCCCGGCUCUGUGGAAAUAGUGGGGUGAGAACUACAACAAAGUUCCCAGUGGGUUCGGCCUCAACAUCACCGACUUUCCCACUAGGACUAACUCAGGCAUAAUAGAAAGAAUAAGCUGCAUAUAGUAACCAAUCUAUACAUGAUGCUAAUAUGCCUGAACAAUAAAGCAAGGAGUAUGCUCAACAUUAAAUAAAUGCAGAUUAUGCAAAUUCUUUGUUCUUUUCACUUUACUCUUUGUUCUUUGUUCUUUGUUCUUUGCACUUUGUUCUUUGCUCUUUGUUCUUUAAUCUCAAGGCUAACCCGGGGGUAUCGCCACAUUAACUUGCUUCACAUUAAGUCCAUCAUCGCAGGAACUCACCCGCUAGGACCGUCCUUCGGGUUUACUCCAACCCGUGAUGCAUAACUCCGGAGCGCAUCGCCCGAGGGGGAGCGACCGCCCUCGAGCACGGAACUCAUAGCAAGUAUGAUCAUAUCCUUAACUCAAAGGAUUUAUAAGUUCAAUCUUGACUUUUCACUAGCUCUAGUGUUCUUUAUAUCACUUUAUGUUGCAAACUCAUGCAAUCACAUUCUUUAUUUUUCUUUUACUUUUGCCAUCUUUAGCAUUCUUGUUCUUAUUGCCCCACUUUACUUUAACUUCACACGUUGUCAUUUUCAUCAUUCUUUACAUCACUUUAGUUCUUUACAUCACACUAACUCUAGUGUCAUUUCACAUUAGCUUUUUCGAAUGCCACUCGAUCUAUGUCAUUGUGCCACUCUGUUCUUUUGCUCACUUUGGGUGCUCACUUUUCUCUCAUGCAUACACAUAGGGUUUUCGACAUCACAAGUUCUUAAUCAUCAUAUUAUGCAAGUUGUACUCACAAUCAUGCAUCAUUACAUUUUCAUCAUUACUUUAUCCUAAAAUGCAUGCAACAACAUAUAUAUAUGCUCAAAUGAAUGACACAUUAGGCAUAGAGGGAAGUUCAACGAGUUUGAGAAGCACCACCCACCUCGUAGGCUUUCAAAGGUGCUCCGAUGAUUUUCUUGGGAUUUUUAGAUGCUUCGUUCUCUACCUGCGGCAUAACGAAGCCAAAUUAGGCUUAUUUGGCCAUAACUUUGCAUCGGCUUUUCGUAACGUUAAUCCGAGUGCACCAACGCGUCGGAAAUACCCCCAAUUAGAUUUUUAGAGGGUCAAUUGCACUUAGAAACCCUCAUGAGCAAAAGCCCCAAUUUGGGUGUCCUAGCUCCAAUGUAUAUCAAAACCUAGGGUUUGAUCUCUUUGGGAAGCAAAAGUAGCUUCACUAUACUCUAAAUAGUCCAUUAGAACCAUUCUUAGGCUUUCUAAAACCCUUGAUUAGAUUUCACCAUGAGAGGUGGUCCAAGCUCACCUCUAUAGCAAACCAAGGUUUUGAUCUCUAAAGAAGCAAAGAGAAAGCUUCAAAAACUCUAAACAAUCCAUUAAAACCAUUUCUAGGUUAAUUCAAACCCAUUUCUAGGGUUUUACUACAUUAGGGUUCAAAGCUUACCUUGUAAGCUUCCUUUUCUUGCACUAGAGAAGAAGGAGAUGGAGCCUCUUUGCUCCAAAAGCUUCUUCUUCACUUUCUUCUCCUUCUUUUCCUUCUUUUCUUCCUUUCUUCUUCUUCUCCUUCUUUGUCUUCUAGAGAGAGAAAGAGAGAAGAGAGUGUGAGAGGGUAAGAAUGAGAGGAAAAGCCCCUCAGCCCAUUAACAUAGCUCAAUGGAUUGCAAAAAUGCAAUAAAACCCCUCAACUUUUAUCUCUGUGCACUGCCUGGACUGGGCAGUUUUCGCAGGCAGAGACCGGUCUCCCCGAGCAGGGACCGGUUCCCGAAGGUCCACCCUGCGCAGCCAGAGCGGCUGCGCGCAAUGCGACCGGUCUCUCUCUGAUGGGACCGAUCUCUGGGGGACCGGUCUCUCAGGCAGAGACCGGUUCUCGAGAGCUGAUCUUCCAGGACUUAGCCGAUUUUUCGGCUGUCUCAUUCUGCACGCGUUCGGGGACCGGUCUCUCCCACCAGGACCGGUCCCCGAGAGCUCAAAAUCUGCAGUUUUGCAGAAUUUGAUUCUUUAGCUCUCGAAAACCUUCCGUAACUCACUUUUAAUCAUUUUAACACCUUCGGACUUUCCGAAGUGUACCAUCUUCGCACUUUGGUCAAUUUGACUAAAGUUCGAUAUUUAUUUUCCGAAUUUUUCGGUAUAUUACAGGCCGGCUACUACCGGAGAUUCGUCGAGGGAUUUGCAAAGCUAUCCACUCCCCUCACGUAGCUCACGUACAAAGGCACCAAGUUUAUUUAGAAUAAUGCGUGUGAAAGAAGCUUCCAAGAGUUAAAGUCUCGGUUGACAACCGCCCCGAUCCUAACCUUGCCAGUUGCUGAAGCAGGGUAUGUGAUCUAUAGUGAUGCUUCCUUUAAUGGAUUGGGCUGUGUUUUGAUGCAGGAUGGGAAAGUGAUAGCGUAUGCUUCUCGCCAGUUGAAGGAAUAUGAAAGAACUAUCCUACACAUGAUUUAGAGUUGGCGGCCAUAGUUUUUGCAUUGAAGCUAUAGCGCCAUUAUCUUUAUGGCGAGCGGUGUAAAGUAUACACGGAUCACAAGAGCUUAAAGUACCUAUUCACUAAGAAAGAGUUGAACUUGAGACAGCACAGAUGGUUGGAGCUACUCAAAGAUUACAAUUUGACUAUUCUCUACCACCCGGGUAAGGCUAACGUGGUGGCAGAUGCGCUAAGUCGGAAAUCGACGGAUAACUUAGCGAUGCUUAUAAUCACUCAACCGCCGUUGAUUGAGCAGAUGAAGCGGUUGGAGUUAGAGGUGGUGGCUCCUGAUACACCCUUGAGACUGAUGACAUUGGUGGUGCAACCGACACUAUUGGAAAGAAUUAAAGAAAAGCAAGCUCACGACGUGGAGUUGCAAAAGAUUCGAGCUAAGAUGAUUGUUGGUUACACCGGUGAUUUCCUUGUGGAUGAUCAAGGGUUGUUGCGAUUCCACGGGCGGACUUGUGUACCGGCGAAAUUAGGAAUUAAAGAAGAUAUCCUUCAAGAAGCACACCGUGCACCUUAUGCUAUUCAUCCAGGAGGCACCAAGAUGUACAAGGAUUUGAAGUUACUUUAUUGGUGGCCCGGGAUGAAAAAGGAUGUUGGCGAGUUUGUAGCUCGAUGUUUAACUUGCCAACAAGUAAAAGCUGAGCAUCGGUUACCUGCGGGAAAACUUUAGAGUUUACCGAUUCCCUUUUGGAAGUGAGAAAAGAUCACCAUGGAUUUUGUUAUAGGUUUGCCUCGCUCUCAGGCCAGGUAUGAUACUAUUUGGAUGAUCGUGGAUAGGUUUACAAAAUCGGCUCAUUUCAUACCUAUUCACACUACUUGGACUGGUGAGAGGCUCGCACAGGUAUAUUUGGAUGAGAUUAUGCGACUUCACGGGGUACCCACUUCGAUAGUAUCAUAUCAAUAUCCCAAGUUAAUUUGUAUCUUACUUCUGAAGGAGUCUACAGGAUGCCUUGGGCACGCGCUUGGAUUUCAGUACAGCUUUCUACCUCCAGAGUGAUGGGCAGUCAAAGCACACUAUACAGACCUUAGAGGAUAUGCUUCGAGCUUGUGUGAUAGACUUCCAGGGAGGAUGGUUCCAGCAUCUACUGAUAGCAGAGUUUACUUAUAACAAUAGUUAUCAAGCAAGCAUCAAGAUGGCACCCUUUGAAGCACUCUAUGGACGAAAGUGUAGAUUGCCAUUCCAUUGGAGUGAAGUUGGCGAGAGAUUGGCUUUAGGCUCCACUACAAAAAAGUUGAUUUGCGGUAACAGUUAAUUUAGAAACAUUUAACACAAGCGCUGGCAAAAAUAUGUUUUAGCAGCGGUUUUAACUAAUUAUUAUAACAGUUCUAAACCGUCAGUAUAUAGUUUAGUUCAAACUAAAUUAAAUUAAAUUUUUUUCCACACAAUCCUCAAAAUAUUGAAGUACAAUCAUAUGUUCUUCAUAUUUUCUAUAUAAAAAGAUACUAUUUUAACUCAGAAAAUAAAAAUUUUGAAAUUAAGAAAAAAAUUAUCAAAAUAUAUAAAAAAAGAAAAAUAUAACAAUAAGUUUUGUACAAUUUAAAUUUUUUAAUAUCAAACUUAUUCUAGCUUUGAAUAAUGUAUAAUUAGUUAAUAAAUUUAAUAAUUUUUUUAAAAAAAUGUUAAGUCAUAUUAAGGAUUGAGAAAAAAAAAAUCCAAAAUCAAACCCGACCCAAAAAAAGCCCCAGCCCAACUCCCGCCACCCCUACACGCACACAGAGGGACCAAGGGGAAAAAGAAAAGAUAAAAAAAAAUUGCGCCCCCCACCUUCACGAUCAAACCCUCCCUCUCCCCUCACGCGCAUCCCGACUCUCUCUCCCUCAACACCCCUACCCUCUCUUUCUCUCCAACAUCGAUCUCCCUCUCCGACACCGCACCAACCCACGGGACAAGAGAGGAGCUAGUAAUCGCUUGGUACUAGCAAUUGCUUGUAGAGCUCGAUUUUUGGCUUCAUAUCAGUGUUUUUGAUGCAAUUUGUGCUUGAUUUUCUCUCUUUUUUUUGUUUAUUAUGCUUCUACUUGCUCGGAUUUGGUACUAAUUGCUUGGAUUUGGUACUACUCGCCUCGACGCCAACAUAGAGCGAGAGAUCGCUUGAAUUGGGGGUUUCGAUUGCCCAGUGGCGGAGGUGAGCUCUCUUUGUAUGAUCGGGGGCGAUCGGGUCCGCUUUUGCGCCAUUUAGGGCUUCAAUUUCCAUGUUAUUCGAUGUUUUGUGCUUAUAUCUAAUAGAUUCUGAUAGAUUAACUAGCAUAAGGAUUAAAAUUCGAGGAUUGAAGUGCAAUUGUAUACUAUUUUAAGGAUGAUUUUUGUAAUUUAUCUAUUUUGAAUGAAAUUUCUAGCCAAAUUUGGCUUUAUCGAUUAUAAAUAGUUACGCUUAUGAUGAACUUCUAAUCUGCAAACUAAUUUUUUUAUUCUAAAAGAAUAAUUUAAAGGUUGAUAAUUUAGAGACUCUCUUAUGUUUACCAACUACUCUGCUUUUGGUUUCUGAUCUUUAUACUCUUUCUUAUGUAGGUGCAGUUCUAUUUGCUUUUUGAUUCAGUUUUCACGUGUAGUUUUAAUGGAACUGUAGAAUAUUUUUUCUUUUCUCCCUUUAUCUCUCUAUUGCUAGGUUACGAUAUUAUAUUCAUAAAGUCAGUAGCUAACGUAGGAUUUCGAUAGUAGGUUGUUAGUGAUGCAGGACCGUAGAGAUAGAAACAGAAUAAAUAAAGUGAAACAUUAACCUGAUAUUACAUCUUGAAAAAACGGAAGUAACUAAGCACACUAAAGCAUUGAAAUCAGAUUUCCGAACAACCACUCAAAGAGUUCAAGCCACUGAUUGGGAUGCUAGCUCUAUUAUCUCAAAGUAUGAUAUUUGGGGUUAAAAUUAAGCUACUAUACCUUGUGUGUGUGAUAGCUUCAUAUGUUUAGCUCAUCAUUUCUCCAGAUUUUCUAUGUAGUCACUUGUUUUCUUUUAUAUAUCUAAGCCCAAUAAUCUUUGGCAUUAUAGCAUAGUUGAUAUAAUUGUUUGGAGGUUAGUCCAGUGACGUACAUUUGAAUUUUUUUUUUUAAUUUCUUUCUGAUUGUUUUCAUGCAGCACCAAAGGCUUCUGUUGAUGAAGCCACUUCAAAUCACCAAAGGCUUCUUGGAAGGUAAUGUUGAUUUAAUCGAUGUUCUAUCUCCUCGUAGGACGUGUAUUCUAUAUACUUAAAUUAUCAUAUAUGAUAUUAAUUAUAAUGAAUCUUGGACCUACUCGAUUUAAUGUAUUUGUUAGUAAUUAUCUGAACCUAGUAAAUCAAUGAUGGUACCCUAAAAGUUGGUUAUAAUAGGCUGAUUUUGUAUUUACUUUUGAUGAAGCUACACAAAUCAUAAUUGCCUAAUGUCGGCAUAUCAAAAAUUGUUAUAUGAGACUUUCAGGUAAUUCUGUCUUGUAAUUUAUCAAAAUGUCUUUUUAAGUACAGGGCACUUAAUAACUACCUCUUUGUAAUAACAAAUUGACUAGAAGGUAUAUAAAAUAAAUGUAUCAAAAGUAUUUUUGAAAUACCAAAGGUCAAAAGACAAGGGUUAUUGAAGAAAAUUAUGUAAUUUUAUUAAAGGUCAUUAAGCAAUCUAUAUUUUUAGGCUACUGAUGAAUCAAAUUUGUUGUUAUUGAUCGAUUUGUACCAAAAGUGAAUUGUCCAGCUAGCAAGUUGUGUAGUAUUUGUGAUGUUGAAGUAAUUCUCUUUGAUCAUCAUCAUCAAUUUUUAGUUAAGGCAGACUUAUCCCACUUGGUUUUAGGGAGAGCUUAGUUAAUUCGUCGUGAUAGUUCCAUGGCCAUCAUUAAUUACUGCUUAUGGUGGAUGCAUCUUGUUGUUAAUAUUGGUGAUCUAAGGUGACUCAUGGAUUUAUAACCAUUCAGCGCCUUUGUGUCUGUAAUCAUUUUUCUGCCUAUUUAUGGUGAAUCUAUUGUUUGUGUAGGUUUCAAUUAUAUGAUUUGGUUGAAUGUAAGGUUCAGGGAGGUCGUAAUUGCUAGAUCAGUUCACUUUCUUUUCUAUUAAUAUGACUGAAACCAUGAAACAAUAGUUUAUGCUCGAUAAUUAUCUAUUCAAUAACAUAUACGCUUUAAAUGACGAGCUAAAGCUAAUUCUAUAGCCAUCAAAGUAGAUGGGAAAAAAGCAUCAUAAUGAUAUUAUCGGCUUGUUCUGUUGGUGUUUUCCUAUAUUUCUUUCAAGUGUUUUGGUAAUAUUAGUUUCUCUUUCUUGAAUUCUGUUUCUUUCCAGUUCAAGGCGCUAUCAGAUCAGUUUUAUCAUACUCCUGAACACCAUGAUUUUGUGAGGGAGUAAGUUGUCAAUAAGGUUGGUUCAUUAGGCAAUGUUGUACUCGUACAUUCAUUUUGACCUACUAUUCUUUAAUCAUGCAAUAUUUUCCUUUUCUUUUCUAGCCUUCAUAAUAUUAUUAUUUUGGUAGAGUGUUGCUAUUUUGCAUCUUAAUUUGGUGAUCUUCUUCUCUUAUUAUUGAUCCUUAGCUAAAGUCUCACCGAGAGAUGCAAGAAGGAUAUGUCCCUAUGGGCUAUGAUGACUACCUGGAAAGGAUGUCCAAGUGAGUUGUAAUACUUUUCUGUAUUCACCUUUAACUGUUAAGAGCUUAUAUGCUAGAAUAUUUAACUUAUUUUAUUUGGUCUGUAAUUGAAAGAUGGUUUAGGAGCCUUUUGAUUUUAUUGUUUCACUAAUUUUUUUUUUUUUUUUUUCAGGAACUUUCGAGGAGGAAGGAUUGAUGAACACUGUUAAUUUGAAGUGAAGUCCUUGAAUAAGUUGAAGAACUCGUAGAAUUUUGAUUUCAUAUAGAUUUUAUUUCUUUUAGAUUGAAAAUUUUUUUGAAUAAAAUUUUUGAUUGACAAUUGUGUUUUUAGUGUGCAAACUAUCUUGUUUUGUUAAUUGAUUUAGCUUCUCUUGUUUGACAAUUGUUGUAUAUAAUCAAAUUUAAAUUUGUUUGAAUGCUUAAUUUGUACUUAUAUCUCAAUGUAAAGAGUCCUAAAAUUUAUUCUAACUUGUUUUUAGUUGUAUGUUUUAUAUUUUGAAUUGGAUUCAUAAUAAUUGCAAAACCGUUGGUAUAAAUUUAUUCAUUUAUACUAGCGCUUUUUAUCAUAUUUAGUAGCGGUCGGAGAAGCGUCAUUAAAAUUAUCACCUUCUCCAAUGGUCACGUAAACCGUCGGUAAAGGCUUUUAGUGCCAGAGAUCUACCGGCGGUUAUAAAAUUUUUCCCUACGAUUUUACAAAUGUCGGAAAAAAAUUUUCCAGCGGUUCUAGAUGCUUUUUCCAGCGGUUUUGACCGCUUCUAAAAUUUAAUUUUUUUGUAGUGCCCGAAUAUGCUCCAGGAAGUAGAGGAUAAAGUUCGCAUUGCUCGGGAGCGUUUGCUGACGGCCGAGAGCAAGCAGAGGAGCUAUGCCGAUCGACGACGGUGAGACUUGGAGUUCCAAGUUGGAGAUCAUAUCUUCUUGAAAGUCUCGCCGACCAAGGGAAAUAGAAGGUUUGGCAUCCGGGGUAAGUUGAGCCCCCGAUUCGUUGGACCCUAUGAGAUUUUGGAGCGUGUAGGCCCGGUAGCGUAUCGACUUGCUCUACCACCAAACCUAUCGGGUGUACACAAUAUUUUUCAUGUAUCGGUCCUCCGAAAAUACAUCUUUGACCCAGCUCAUGUUUUGAAAGUUAUAACAUUGGAGCUGAGGGAUGAUUUGAGCUUUGAAGAGCAACCGGUGAGGAUUUUGGCUCGCGAGGUGAAAAAGCUGCAGAAUCGCGAUAUUUCCUUUGUAAAGGUGCUUUGGAGCAACCACGAUGAACGCGAGGCCACGUAGGAGUUGGAAAGCGCACUGCAAGAGCGUUAUCCCCAUCUUUUUCAGAUGGAGUCUUGAGGUAACUUGCUUUUUAGUUUCGCAAAUGAAACUCCUUUUUAGGAAGGAAAAAUGUAAUGCACUGGAUCGUUGCAAAUUGCGAGGUUCGAUGUCUGAUUUGUGUUUCGAGCUUUUCCACACUUUCUGAAGGGUCGUUGAUAGUGUUUUGACUCAUGGCUCGCAUCCCGAGAAUUGAGGUUUAAAACUUAGCACCAAACCUCGAAAUUGCAGGAAUUUUGGUUGCUCUCGGGUUUGCCUCUGGAAGGUAGAGUACCGGUACUACAAUUGCAUUAUCGGUACUGCAGGGCAGAGUAUCCGUAAGAUGGUGUUGCAAGAAGCGCAUCAUUUCCCGUAUAGUAUUCACCCGGGCGGCACUAAGAUGUAUAAAGACCUGAAAUUGCAUUAUUGGUGGCCGGGCAUGAAAAGAGACAUUGGGGAGUUUGUAGCGCAGUGUUUGACGUGCCAAUAAGUGAAGGCCGAGCGUCGAUUUUCCGCGGGGAGGUUGCUGAGCUUACCAAUCCCCGUGUGGAAAUGGGAGGACGUAGCGAUGGACUUUGUGGUUGGAUUACCCCGAUCGCAAGCCGGACAUGAUGCCAUAUGGGUGGUUGUGGACCGUUUGACGAAGUCGGCUCAUUUCUUGCCGAUCCACACCACAUAGUCAGGAGACAAGUUAGCACAAGUCUACUUGGAUGAGGUAGUGAGAUUGCAUGGGGUUCCAGUAUCGAUUGUGUCAGAUCGAGACCCCUGGUUCACUUCUCAUUUCUAGAAGAGCUUGCAGGAUGCUCUAUGCACGCGCGCGGCUCGAUUUCAGUACGGCAUUUCAUCCUCAGAGUGAUGGCCAGUCAGAGAGGACAAUUCAGAUACUCGAGGAUAUGUUGCGAGCAUGUGUACUCGAUUAUAGUGGAGGGUGGCAUGAGUAUUUGCCGAUGGCGGAGUUCGCUUGCAAUAACAGCUACCAAGAAAGUGUAGCGAUUGCGCCAUUUGAAGCACUUUAUGGAUGUAAGUGUCGCUCUCCUAUCCAUUGGAGCGAGGUGUGUGAAAGAGUCACCCUUGGUCCGGAUGUGGUGUGAGAGGCGGAGGAGAAAGUUCGUCUUGCUCGCCAACGAUUGAUGACGGCACAAUCGCGACAACGAAGUUAUGCAAAUAAGAGUCAAAAGGAUUUGGAAUUCGCGGUUGGCGACCGUGUAUUUCUCAAGGUGUCGCCUAUGCGCGGAGUGAAGUGGUUUAGCAUUCGGGGGAAAAGUCCCCGAUACAUAGGGCCAUACGAGAUCCUAGAGCGGAUUGGGCCGGCGGCGUAUAAGUUAGCGUUACCGCCGAAGCUUGCGGGAGUGCACAACGUAUUCCAUAUAUCGAAUCUCCGCAAGUACUUCCGUAACUCCUCACAUGUGUUGGAGUAUGAACCGGUAGAGUUACAUGAGGAUGUCACUUAUGAAGAAUUCUCGGUGAGCAUUCUUGCUCGAGAGGAGCGGAAGCUACGGAAUCGGACUAUUCCGUAUGUAAAAGUGCAAUAGUAAUCACUCGAGGCGUGAAUCCACGUGGGAGCUCGAGGAGAAGAUGUGCGAGGUUUAUCCUCACUUGUUCGAUCAAGUGAGCUAAGCUACGUGUUAAGUUUCGCGGACGAAACUAAUUUUAAGGGGGGGGAAUGUAACAUAUCACUUCCCCGUAAAUCGUGCUGCGUUCCUUCGAAGCGAACGGAACGCGGAGUGGAACAAGUUACAAUGGGUUCUAAGUGUUUUGGAACCUUGGUAUAGUGUAAAGGGACCCGAGAGAGUGAAACUGGAAAAUUUGGUCAAGUCCCAGAUUUUGGACUCUCGGGACCGGUCCCUGCGAGGAGAGACCGGUCCCCGUACGCGUAGCCAGCCAAAAAGUGUGAAAAAUCGGCUAAGUCCUGAGAGUUGUGCUCUCGGGGACCGGUCCCUGCGGAGAGAGACCAGUCCCCGUGAGCGAAAAAUGUCCCCAGCGGCUAAGUCCUGGAAAACCCACUCUCGGGGACCGGUCCCUACGGGGAGAGACCAGUCCCCGUAUGCGAAAUUUGCCCAGUGAAGGCUGAUGUGAAGAAUGGAAUUAAGAGGGGCUAAAGUGCAAAGUGGCAUGGUGAAAGGUUAUAUGUGUGUGUGGGCAUGAGUUCUAGGGCUCAUUUCUCACACCCACAACAAAAUAUCUCCCUCUCUCUCUCUAAAAACCUUCUCCUCUCUCAUCUCCUUCUCUCUAGAGCUUGGGCCAAGGAGGGCUUUUGGAGAAGAAAAGCUUGGAGAAGAAGCUUGUCUAGGUGGAAGCUAGCUUGUGCAAGACUUUUGAAGGAAAAGCUUGCACUCUAAGGUGAGUUUCCAUGUUUUCUUCUUAGGGUUUUGAUGUUUGCUUCUAGUUGAAGCAUCUAGGAGCCUCUAUAGUAGUUUUCCCCUAUAGUAUACAUGCUAGGGACCAUGAAUGGGGAAGAUGACAUUGUUGAGGGACCCAAAAUUGGGGUUUUUGGAUUUUGAGGUCAAAGCUUGGGUUUGAUCUCUUUUUAACCUAAUCGGUAGGUCGACGAACACGUUGGUAUGCUCGGUUCGGCGAUACGACGAGCGUACGCGAAGAUAUCGACGAAAGAAGCUAAAAUAGUACAGAUUGCCGUAGCUUGCGGCAUUGGACUCUAAAAAUUGCAAGAUUUGGCGCACGACAUCCUUAUAACACUAAAAGGUGGGGGAUGCUAUCCGAAAAUACCGAAUUUCUCUCUAUGUCUAUGUUACCUAAUUUGAGCAUAUUGAUUGUAGCAUUCUUGCAUAUAGGGUAGUGUGAAAUAUGUUCCUGGUUGAAAUGCAUUUAGAUGCAUAAAGAAUAUGAGAAAUGAUAAUGAACCAAGUGAACCAUGUAUGAAAGGACCCUAUGUGCAUGUGAAUGUGAGAAAAGACUAUGACAAUAGUAAACAAAGGUGACAUCGACUAUAGUGACUCGAUUGGCAUUGAGAAAGAGAUUGGCUAAACAAUGUUUAACCUAGAGUGGCAUCAUGACUAUUGUGGUUCGGAUAUAGUGGCAUAUGCAUGAUAUGUUGAUAACCUAUCAUCGGUAUUGAGGCUUUGUGCAUUGAGACAGGUUUGGCUACGUCCUCAAAUUGAGGAUUGGAUCGUACUCACACAUUGGUUCCGGCUUAAGGGAGGUAGCUCCUCCUCAAGUAGUGUACUCCGAAAUGUAGACACCACGAGGAAGUACCCCGGCGGAGAUCCCUCGGGCGGUAGUGCCUUGUGCCUCCCCGGUAGACGGAAUAUGUGGAUUGUGAGUUUGGGGUGAACCAAGAGUACCCUGGGAUGAUUGGGUAAAAGCCAUGGAAAAUGAGAAAGGACAUACAUGCAUAAUUAUCAUGUACUUGAUUAUUUAUCUAUCUGUGGACAGCUUUCUUGCAGGCAUUGUAUUAGUUGCAUUAGUGGGUUUGAUAUUCUCCUUUAUUGAAAUACAUAUGCCUGAAUAAACCUAGUGGGCGAGUCGGCGCGGUCGGCGACCGAGCCCACUGGGAACUUCUUUUAGUUCUCACACCACCACUAACCCUGCAGAUCCAUGCGCGAGCGGGGCGGCGAAGGAUCGAAGCAAGGGUAUCGCGCCAUAGAUAGCGGCCUCGGAGUUUAUAGGCAUACCCUAUGUUUUGUAUAUUCAACUUUUGUAUGUUGAACUAGUAAUGUAAAGAGAUGUAAUCAUGUAUUUUGGAUGAAAGCCAAUGUGAUCUAAAUGUAAAUGAAUGGAUAAGAAUGAAUGUAAAUGUAUAGUGCUUGUGUUGGAUUCAAAUGCAAUGAAAUGACGUGUAUGUGGACGAAUGUUUAGUUUAGUUUCGAUGCUUUCACUGUGAUUUAGUUGUCGUUUGCCCUCAUGCAAACCUUGCAUAAUUGCGUUCAUUUGUAUUGAAUUGUUUGUAUUAUACAUGUUGUUGGAGCCUUGGGCGGACAGGGGAGGUGUUGUCUGUUCGACGUCUGUUCUCGUGCCCGAACCGACCAAAUUGGCGACUCCGGGGCGUGACAGACAUAGUGGUAUCAGAGCAAAGUGAAAGCAAAAGUCUAGGAUGGACUUAGGGACCUUAGGAUUGGAGACCAUAGGAACUUAGAAGACGUUUAACGUGGAUUUGGAUAUGCGGAAGCUAAUUGAUUGGGUUAUGAUUAGAACUUCUCUAAAAGGACUUAGAGAUGGAUUCAAGGGAUUGUUUGUUUUCUUCCUGAGGGAUUAUGUGGGGCGGCCGGCUACAUAAUGCCGAGGGUAGAAAAUGAACACACAUGAUUGCUUUCGCUUAAUUGGGUAGUUAUUUGGAACGUGUAAGAGUUACGCGUGUCGAGUAUUAACGUGUGUGUUUCGUUUUGGGAGCUAAUGUCCCCGAGAUGUUACACGCAUAGAUCUGCUCCGGCAUUGCCUGAUAAAGUGCCCGAGCAAGCUGGAUUUGAUGAAGUUCGUGAGUUGCGGGCCCAAGUGCGGCUUUGGCCGGGGCUAUGCGGCAGCAAGGGGAGCAGAUAGGACGGCUCCAUGAGUUCGUGGCCCGACAGGCGGCGGCGGCUGCACCUAUACCUCAGGACCCGCCCGCACCUGUGGCACCUACUCCAGCGGUGGCGGCGACACCAGUGACGGCUAUUCCUCCGACUGCUUCGGGUUCUUCGGCUCCUAUCCCGGAGGCACUUGAGGCUGAGCAGGAGCGGUCGUUGGCGGUGUUGACGGCCUUCAAACGGUUCAACCUAUCGACUUUCGACGGAGAUGUGAAGGAUCCGUGGGUGAUGAAGAAUUGGUUGGUCGCGAUGGAGGCGUUGUUCGAGGAUAUUUACACCCUUGAGAAGGAUAAGGUUCACCUUGCGGCCCAUUGUUUCGAGGGGUCGGCUCGGUUAUGGUGGACGCAAGCGAAGAAAAGUCGAUCGUUGGAUCUUGCUUCCGUUACUUGGGAGGCAUUCCGGGAGAUGUUGCUCAUGGAGUAUUUUUUCGAAAGCGACAAGCGGAAGAUCAAGGAGGACUUCCGCAAACUCAGGCAAGGAAACCGAUCGGUGCGGGAAUACGAGAGAGAGUUCUCGCACAUGGUUAAUUGUGUGCCGGGAUUGGUUCAUGGUGACCGAGACCGAGCGGAAGUCUUCGAGAGCGGGUUGUGGCCCGAGAUAUUCAAGGUCAUUCAUGCCUUCCGAUUGAAGACCUACGAGGAUGUACUCGAUCGCGCGCUAUGGGUGGAGCGCGGCAACGCCAUUGCGCGCGAGGAGCGCGAGGCUUUUGAGAAAGACAAGGACAGGGAGAAGUCCAAGAAGCUACCGGCUGGUGGUUCCCUGGGGCAGUCGAGUUCCAAGCGACCCCCUCGGUACCCAAGAUCGCAAUUGCGGGGAGGCAGAGGCCAGACAAGGAGUUAGACGACUUCCUUCCCGUGCGUGAUCUGCGGCGGGAAUCAUAGGCCCAAUGAAUGUUCUCAGCGUGACGGGAGGUGUUUUCGAUGCGGCCAAGCGGGACACUUGAGUUGGGAUUGCCCGGGCGGUGCGUCACCUGCUCCGUCAGCUGCUUCUGCUUAAUAUGCUCCACGACAGCUUGCAGGACUGUCACCUGCUAUGUCGGCUGGGCGUGCUUCAGCACUGCAUCAGCCGAAGGGAUCACGUGCACCGAGUGGACGAGUUUUCGCCACUCAGGUGGAGGAGCAGCCUGCUGUACCCGACAACGUCGUGGCAGGUAUUAUUCUGAUUAAUGGCAUUAGAGCAAGAGCAUUGUUCGAUACGGGUGCAUCACAUUCAUUUAUUGGUGCAUCAUUUGCUGAGACUCAUGGCAUGGAGAUAGUGCAUAAUCAUGAUUAUUGGUGGGUUAAUGCGCCCGAGCACUCGUUUAGAGUUCACGAGGAAUGCUUAGCUUGUCCUGUUCAGAUCGACGAGUGGAUCAUGCCGGCGGACUUGCUAGUGUUGAAGCAGAUGUGGGGAUUUGAUGUCAUCUUGGGAGUUAAUUGGUUCUCCAAGUACUAUGCCAGCAUUGACUGUGACAGUAAGGUGAUCACUUUUCAUGAGCCUGUUCAAGAGGAGUUGGUGUAUCAAAUGUGCAAGAGCUCGCGCUUCGCGUCGACCGUGUCGGCGACGAGGGCGAGAAAGAUGAUCAAAAGCGGAUGUGUGGCCUAUUUUGUGACCAUAAUAGAGUACCCAGAACUUGAAAGUAUCCGAGUAGCGUGUGAAUUCCCGGAUGUGUUUCCGGCGGAGUUACCGGGAUUGCCACCGGAUCGGGAGAUCGAGUUCGUCAUUGACUUGAUUCCCGGAGCGGCGCCAAUUUCGAAGGCUCCAUAUAGAAUGGCACCGGCAGAGCUUAAAGAGUUAAAGGCUCAGUUGCAGAACUUGCUCGACAAAGGCUUUGUGAGGCCGAGCGUGUCACCGUGGGAAGCUUCGGUGUUGUUUGUGAAGAAAAAGAAUCGUACACUUCGACUCUGUCUGGAUUAUCACGAGUUGAAUAAAAUGACGGUCAAGAACAAAUACCCGUUGUCGAGAAUAGACGACCUGUUUGAUCAGUUGCAGGGGUCGCGGGUAUACUCAAAGAUAGAUCUUCAGUCGGGAUAUCACCAAUUGAAGAUCCGGCUGAAGAAUGUGCACAAAAUGAUGUACCGUACGCGGUAUGGCCACUAUGAGUUUACGGUAAUGCCGUUUGGGCUUACUAAUGCCCCGGCAGCAUUUAUGGACCUAGUGAAUUGGGUCUUUCGACCGCUAUUGGAUUAGUGCGUCGUGGUAUUUAUCGACGACGUGUUGGUGUAUUCACGGAGUGAGGAAAAACACGAGAAACAUUUGAGAACCGUGUUGCAAAUACUCCGGAACGAGAAGCUUUAUGCUAAACUGAAGAAGUGCGAGUUUUGGCUUUCAGAGGUAACCUUCUUAGGCCAUGUGAUUUUCGAGGGCGGAGUCUCGGUGGAUCCAAGAAAGAUUGAGGCGAUUCGAGAUUGGCCUCGCCCGACGAGUGUGGCGGAAGUCCAUAGUUUCCUCGGAUUGGCGAGCUACUAUCGGCAAUUUGUGGAGGGGUUUGCGAAGUUGACUACUCCUCUUACACGCCUUACACACAAAGGAGCAAGAUUCGUGUGGAGCGACGAUUGCGACCGAAACUUCCAAGAACUAAAGGAGAAAUUGACGUCGACCCCGGUACUUGCAUUGCCAAUGCCGGGAGAGAGUUUUGUAGUAUAUAGUGAUGCUUCCUAUAAUAGUCUCGGGUGUGUUUUUAUGCAAAAUAGGCGAGUCAUUGCGUAUGCUUCGCGCCAGUUGAAGAGCUAUGAGAAGAAUUACCCGAUACAUGAUCUCGAGUUAGCGGCGGUCAUUUUCACGCUAAAGCUAUGGAGGCACUAUCUUUACGGUGAGCAUUGUGAGGUAUAUACUGAUCACAAAAGCCUCAAGUACUUGUUCACCCAGAAAGAGCUAAACAUGCGGCAACGGCGGUGGUUGGAGCUGUUGAAAGAUUAUGAUCUUACUAUCCUAUACCACCCCGGGAAAGCUAAUGUGGUCGCCGAUGCGCUAAGUAGAAAAUCUGUUGAAAACGUGGCGACGGCAAUUACUAGUCAACCGUUAUUGCAGAAAGAAAUGCAACGGUUUGGAUUGGAAGUAGUGGCGCGGAGGUUCCGACCAUUUUGGCGACACUAGUGGUUCGACCGACCGUAUUGGAGCAGAUUAAGAGUGGCAAGUUGAUAAUCCAUAUCUCCAAAAGGUGCGGAAUGACAUUGACGGUGGACACGCCGGUGACUUUGGCGUGGGAUCUGACGAUGCACUUCGGUUCAGAAACCGGUUGUGUGUGCCCAAGGAUGACGAAAUCCGUAAGAUGGUGUUGCAAGAAACGCAUCAUUCCCCGUAUAGUUUUCACCCGGGCGGCACUAAGAUGUACAAAGACCUGAAAUUGCAUCAUUGGUGGCCGUGCAUGAAAAGAGACAUUGGGGAGUUUGUGGCGCAGUGUUUGACGUGCCAACAAGUGAAAGCCGAGCGUCGAUUUUCCGCGGGGAGGUUGCAGAGCUUACCAAUCCCCGUGUGGAAAUGGAAAGACGUAGCAAUGGACUUUGUGGUCGGAUUACCUCGAUCGUAACCCGAACAUAAUGCCAUAUGGGUAGUUGUGGACCGUUUGACGAAGUCGGCUCAUUUCUUGCCGAUCCACACCACGUGGGCAGGAGACAAGUUAGCACAAGUCUACUUGGAUGAGGUAGUGAGAUUGCAUGGGGUUCCAGUAUCGAUUGUGUCAGAUCGAGACCCCCGAUUUACUUCUCAUUUCUGGAAGAGCUUGCAGGAUGCUCUAGGCACGAGGCUCGAUUUCAGUACGGCGUUUCAUCCUCAGAGUGAUAGCCAGUCGGAAAGGACAAUUCAGAUACUCGAGGAUAUGUUGCGAGCGUGUGUACUCGAUUAUAGUGGAGGGUGGCAUGAGUAUUUGCCGAUGGCGGAGUUCGCUUACAAUAACAGCUACCAAGAAAGUAUAGCGAUGGCGCCAUUUGAGGCACUUUAUGGACGUAAGUGUCGCCCUCCUAUCCAUUGGAGCGAGAUGGGUGAAAGAGUCAUCCUUGGUCCGGAUGUGGUGCGAGAGGCGGAGGAGAAAGUCCGUCUUGCUCGCCAACGAUUGAUGACGGCACAAUCGCGACAACGAAGCUAUGCAAAUAAGAGUCGAAAGGAUUUGGAAUUCGCGGUUAGCGACCUUGUAUUUCUCAAGGUGUCGCCUAUGCACGGAGUGGAGCGGUUUGGCAUUCAGGGGAAACUUAGUCCCCGAUACAUAGGGCCAUACGAGAUUCUAGAGCGAAUUGGGCUGGUAGCGUACAAGUUAGCGUUACCGCCGAAGCUUGCGGGAGUGCACAACGUGUUCCAUAUAUCGAAUCUCCGCAAGUAUUUCCGUAACUCCUCACAUGUGUUGGAGUAUGAACCAGUAGAGUUACACGAGUAUGUCACUUAUGAAGAAUUCCCGGUGAGCAUUCUUGCUCAAGAGGAGCGAAAGCUACAGAAUCGGACUAUUCCGUAUGUAAAAGUGCAAUGGAGUAAUCACUCGAGGCGUGAAUCCACGUGGAAGCUCAAGAAGAAAAUGUGCGAGGUUUAUCCUCACUUGUUCGAUCAAGUGAGCUAAGCUACGUGUUAAGUUUUGCGGACGAAACUAAUUUUAAGGGGUGGGGAAUCUAACAUAUCACUUCCCCGUAAAUCGUGCCGAGUUCUGUCGAAGCGAACGAAACGCGGAGUGGAACAAGUUACAAUGGGUUCUAAGUGUUUUUGAACCUUGGUAUAGUGUAAAGGGACUCGAGAGAGUGAAACUGGAAAAUCUGGCCAAGUCCCAGAUUUUGGACUCUCGGGACCGGUCCCUGCAGGGAGAGACCGAUCCACGUACGCGUAGCCAGCCAAAAAGUGUGGAAAAUCGGCUAAGUCCUGAGAGUUGUGCUCUCGGGGACCGGUCCCUGCGGAGAGAGAUCGGUCCCCGUGAGCGAAAAAUGUCCCCAGCGGCUAAGUCCUGAAAAACCCACUCUCGGGGACCGGUCCCUACAGGGAGAGACCGGUCCCCGUAUGUGAAAUUUGCCCAGUGAAGGCUGAUGUGAAGAAUGGAAUUGAGAGGGACUAAAAUGCAAAGUCGGAUGGUGAAAGGUUAUAUGUGUGUGUGGGCAUGAGUUCUAGGGCUCAUUUCUCACACCCACAACAAAAUAUCUCCCUCUCUCUCUCUAAAAACCUUCUUCUCUCUCAUCUCCUUCUCUCUAGAGCUUGGACCAAGGAGGGCUUUUAGAGGAGAAAAGCUUGGAGAAGAAGCUUGUCUAGGUGGAAGCUAGCUUGUGCAAGACUUUUGUAGGAAAAGCUUGGACUCUAAGGUGAGUUUCCUUGUUUUCUCCUUAGGGUUUUGAGGUUUGCUUCUAGUUGAAGCAUCUAGGAGCCUCUAUGGUAGUUUUUCCCCAUAGUAUACAUGCUAAGGACCAUGAAUGGGGAAUAUGACAUUGUUGAGGGACCCAAAAUUGGGGUUUUUGGAUUUUGAGGUCAAAGCUUGGGUUUGAUCUCUUUUUAACCUAAUCAGUAGGUCGACGAACGCGUUGGUGCGCUCGGUUCGGCGAUACAACGAGCGUACGUGAAGAUAUCGAAGAAAGAAGCUAAAAUAGUACAGAUUGCCGUAGCUUGCGGCAUUGGACUCUAAAAAUUGCAAGAUUUGGCGCACGGCAUCCUUAUAACACUAAAAGGUGGGAGGUGCUAUCCGAAAACACCGAAUUUCUCUCUAUGUCUAUGUUACCUUAUUUGAGCAUAUUGAUUGUAACAUUCUUGCAUAUAGGGUAGUGUGAAAUAUAUUCUUGGUUGAAAUGCAUUUAGAUGCAUAAAGAAUAUGAGAAAUGAUAAUGAACCAAGUGAACCAUGUAUGAAAAGACCCUAUGUGCAUGUGAAUGUGAGAAAAGACUAUGACAAUAGUAAACAAAGGUGACAUCGACUAUAGUGACUCGAUUGGCAUUGAGAAAGAGAUUGGCUAAACAAUGUUUAACCUAGAGUGGCAUCAUGACCAUUGUGGUUCAAAUAUAGUGGCAUACGCAUGAUAUGGUGAUAACCUAUCAUCGGCAUUGAGGCUUUGUGCAUUGAGACAGGUUUGGCUAUGUCCUCAAAUUGAGGAUUGGAUCGUACUCACACAUUGGUUCUGGCUUGAGGGAGGUAGUUCCUCCUCAAGCGGUGUACUCCGGAGUGUAAACACCACGGGGAAGCACCCCGGCGAAGAUCCCUCGGGCGGUAGUGCCUUGUGCCUCCCCCUGUAGACGGGAUGUGUGGAUUGUGAGUUUAGGGUAAACCAAGAGUAACCCAGGAUGAUUGGGUAAAAGCCAUGGAAAAUGAGAAAGGACAUACAUGCAUAAUUAUCAUGUACUUGAUUAUUUAUCUAUCUGUGGACAGCUUUCUUGCAGGCAUUGUAUUAGUUGCAUUAGUGGGUUUGAUAUUCUCCUUUAUUGAAAUACAUAUGCCUAAAUAGACCUAGUGGGCGAGUCGGCGCGGUCGGCGGCCGAACCCACUGGGAACUUCUUUUAGUUCUCACACCACCACUAACCCUGCAGAUCCAUGCGCGAGCGGGGCUGCGAAGGAUAGAGGCAAGGGUAUCGCGCCGUAGAUAGCGGCCUCAGAGUUUAUAGGCAUACCCUAUGUUUUGUAUAUUCAACUUUUGUAUGUUGAACUAGUAAUGUAAAGAGAUGUAAUCAUGUAUUUUGGAUGAAAGCCAAUGUAAUCUAAAUGUAAAUGAAUGGAUAAGAAUGAAUGUAAAUGUAUAGUGCUUGUGUUUGAUUCAAAUGAAAUCAAAUGUCAUGUAUGUGGACGAAUGUUUAGUUUAAUUUCGAUGCUUUCACUGUGAUUUAGUUGUCGUUCGCCCUCGUGCAAACCUUGUAUAAUUGCGUUCAUUUGUAUUGAAUUGCUUGUCACUACAACAGAAUUAGGUUAUAGGGACACAUGUUUGGGACACUUUUGAGUAAGUGUCCCAUUUAUCCUAAAACUUAAAAAAACAUCUACUAAUGCCUAAAUAUAAAGUCCAAUCCAACCAAAAAUAAAAGAUUACUCUACUAAACUCACCACACCUAGUCCAUUUGGCCCGAUUACAAACAGAAAAAAAAAAAAAGAAAAAUCAAUUACCAUCUUUUCUUCUCUCUUCACUCAAUCCACUGAAAUUCUAGACGAAGAGCCGUUCCUGUCGUCCUCCUCCGCCACCGCAGCCAACGAGAUAGAGUUUCGGCAGUUGCUAAAUGCUUAAAUAAGUGUUGGUAAAUUAGCAGCACUCUUUUAGGUUAUAGCGACACUCUUUAACUGUCACUAUAUACCUAGCGACUCCACAUAUAGCAACACUUUUUAAAAGUGUCGGUAAUUUUAGCUAGCAGCACUUUUUUGACAUGUACCUAUAUUUAAAAGUGUCGCUAUAGACCGUUUUUGUUGUAGUGUGUAUUAUACAUGUUGUUGGAGCCUUGGACGGACAGGAAAGGUCCUGUCUGUUCGGCGUCUGUUUGCGUGCCCGAACCGACCAAAUUGGCGGCUCCGGGGCGUGACAGAAGCCCUCCACUCCUUCUCUUUGGUUCUCUUUGAAUUUUUGUGGGGAUUUUUGAGGUUUAAUCACCUCUUUUGCUUCCUUUUUGUAUCUUGGUGGCAUUUCCACCAUGGGAGAAGGCUUGAAUCUAGGAGAAGAGCUUGUUGGAGUAGAGAUCUUCAACCCUAGGUCAUUGCAAGCCUGGUUGGGAGCUUCUAAAGAGGUUAGUAAUAUGUUUCCCCUCUUUGAUCCAUGUUUUGGUGGAUUUUACAUGAUAAAAACCUAGAAUGUGAAAUCUAGGGUUUAUUUUAGGAAUUUUUGAUUAGAAACUUUUGGAGCUCAAUUGAUUGGUUUAAAACCUUUAAUUGUUUAGGUUGGCUUAAAAGGGUUCUAGCUCUCAUUUAGAGAUUGAGAGAGAUUUUCACCAUACAAGGUGAGUUUUUGCCCUUUUCUUGGGUUGGUUAAUGUUUGAUCUUAUGGGUGUUCGUUCGUUGCGUUUAACUGUCUUAAUAUUACCUUUAGGGAGUUAGGAGGCUAGUGGACACCUUCUUUUGCGCAAACGAAAGGGUUGCGAGCAGUCUUGGUGGGUUUGACCUCUCACCGAAAUGAGAAAAAUUUCACCUAUGUUAUUGUAAUUGUUGUAAAAUAGAAAAUCAUGCAUAUUCAUGCUAGAUAGAGCAUAUGUGAAUUUUAGAAUGCUUAAAAUGCAUAUGUUAUGUAUAAUGAAAUUGUACCUCUAUGUAGUAGAGAGAUUAGUGCAUUGUGAUUAUGCAUAUAAAUAGCAUUCUUAUAUGUGGCUUGGGACCAUGAUUCAUGUAGUAAAAACAACAAGUAUAAUAUGCUCUUGGACUUAGAACUCAUGUUUGACAUAGGAGAAAACAUAAUGUCAUAGAGGGGCAUUAGACCUGAAUUAUGUUUGACAUAGUAAACCUAAUGUCAUGAAGUGGCAUUAGAUGAAGUAAAUGGAUUGAACUCUACAUUGUGACAUAGAGCUAGACCUUCGUGGUCACUAGUAUUUAUACCAUGUUUUAGACAUAAUGACAUUGGACUUGAGACGGACAUUAACGCUUGCUUGCCAUUGUGCUUAUUCGCAUAUGCUUGUGAGGGUCGUUCCCCACAAGCCGGUACUCCGGAGAUAGCUAUUGCGACAUAAGCUCACUCGUUCGAGAUUGGGUGCCGAAAUGGGAUGCCGUUGGGGAGGCUCAUUCCUAGGGUAGGAAUGUUGACUACUAUGGGGCCAUUAGGCACAGCGCAAGCCGGACUACACUUGUGUAGGUCCUAUAUGAUUGGAACAAGUUGAACUAUAAUGCAAAAGUGGACUUUAGAGAACACAUAGUAAACAAUGACAUUUUACUAGUUGUGCUUGUGGACAUCGUGUUGUUUAUACUUAUACACAUUCAUGUUAGAAUAGCAUUUACACUUAUGCAAAUCCAUGCUAAGUAGAGGCAUAGUAGUUUACAUGCUCUAUUUAUGUUUAGCAUACAUGUUGUUCAUUCUAUUGUUAGAACUUACUGCUUUUACCUUAUAGCCUAGUGGUGCAUUUUCGCUGAGGUCAGCAAUUGGCCACUUGGAACUAUUGUUUAAUAGUUCUCAGGCCCCCUGUUUUGUUAUUUUUCUUACAGAGCCUUCCACUCAGGGAGAGGCUCGGGAUCGCGGGAAAUGAAUCGCCUCGAGCUAGUUAGCAAGGAAUUUUACGAUAGGUGGUUCACCUCUUUUUUUGUUUUUAUUUUGGAGAGGAUAAGAGUUUUUGUACCCAUGUAUAGAGACCACCAUUUUUGGAUAUUGUAGCACUUGUAUUUGAGACUUGGUGAUGUUCUACCUUAUGUUUUACUUUGGUGGAUUAGUUCUCUUUUCAUUCUACUUGUCAUUAGAAUCUAGUUGUACAUGUGCUCUGAUAUCUCUAGAUACUUGUUAUUUGUUGUUUUAACUACAUUAUUGUUGUAGACGCCUUAUAUGUGUAGGCAUAUGGCGGGUAUGGGCACGCACCGGGCGGGCCUCUACCUGGUCUCGGGGCGUGACAUAGACAGUUGAUUCGAAAGGGUUUUGUAGCCUUCUUAGCCAGUAUUAUUGUGAGUGACAGGGUUAUUCCUGGGAUUGACGACAUUCCAGUGGUACGGGAGUUUGGCGAUGUGUUUCCAGCUGAGUUGCCAGGUAUGCUACCUGAUAGGGAAGUUGAGUUUGUGAUAGAUCUUGUUCCUGGGACUACCCCUAUCUCAAAAGCACUCUAUAGGAUGGCACCCGCUGAAUUAAAAGAGCUGAGAGCAUAGUUGCAAGAUCUGUUAGAUAAAGGCUUCAUCAGACCGAGAGUAUCACCCUGGGGAGCACCAGUUUUAUUUGUUAAGAAAAAGGAUCGAUCCUUCCGUUUGUUCGUAAACUAUCGGGAGAUUAAUAAAGUCACAAUUAAAUAUAAGUAUCCGUUGCCGAGAAUUGAUGACUUGUUCGAUCAACUUCAAGGAUCGAAGGUCUAUUCCAAGAUUGAUUUGCAGUCGGAAGAUCAUCAGCUUAAAAUCAAAUUUGAAGAUAUUUCUAAGAUAGCUUUCCGGACACGGUAUGGUCGUUACGAGUUUACAGUUAUGCCGUUCGGGCUUAUUAAUAUCCCGGCAGCCUUUAUGGAUUUAAUGAACCGUGUUUUCAAGCCUUAUUUGGACAGGCAUGUUGUAGUAUUCAUCGAUGAUAUUUUAAUUUAUUCCCGAAGUGACAAGGAGCAUGAACAUCAUUCGAGAUUAGUGUUGCAAGUACUUCAGGAAAAGAAAUUAUUCGCUAGGUUGAAGAAAUGUGAAUUUUGGCUUCGGGAGGUAGCAUUCUUGGGACAUGUGAUUUCAGAGGCUGGGAUAACUGUGGAUCAUAAAAAGAUUGAAGCAAUAAAGGAAUGGCCUAAACCGACUAGUGUGGUCGAGAUUCGAAACUUUCUUGGAUUAGUAGGGUACUACCGGAGGUUUGUUGAGGGAUUUGCUAAGUUGUCUACUCCCCUCACGUGGCUUACACAUAAAGGAGCUAAAUUUGUGUGGAACGAAAUAUGCGAAAGUUUUCAGGAAUUGAAAGAACGGUUAACGACCGUCCCGAUUUUGGCACUACCGGUUACCGGAGUGGAUUAUGUGAUUUACAGUGUUGCGUCGCUGAAUGGGUACUUCGACCCGAAGUCGGUACAGUGGUGCACGCUCGGUGACAUCUUUUUACCAUUUUUCUGUUAUUAUCCUGCAUAUAUGUUAUGUUGAGCCUAGCACCUUUGUUAUUCCUUUUACGCUCUACUUGGUUGUUUUCAUGUCUAGCAUCAUGAGUAGGAGUAGAGCAGGCUUAUGAUUACAUGUGAGAUUGGUGACCUAGAUGGUUGGUUCUUGUAUCUCGUGCUGUGACCUAUUCUGUCGGUUUACUACAUCUAUUAUCAUGAUCUAAUUGGUCGGUUGGACUACUUGGUGACCUACACGGUCGGUAUACCUUGAGGGGUAGAAUUGUAGGCUAGUUGCCGAUGGUUGGCUAUUGAGCAUAUUAGUAUCGAUCGCCACUGCUCGUACGUAUUUCACGAACACCAGCGGUCUGAUCCACCGCAAGAGGAUGUUCUUUUUCAAAAAAGUGAUUGGGAUUGUCAGCCCGUGAGCCCAAGAGCUUAUGUUGGGGCAAUAUGCUUUCAGACCCAAGAGCUUAUGCUGGGGUCAUUUACAGGUUAAAGCAGUUGUGGCACAGGCCUGAGGUCUACGGACCGAUAGGGCAGGUUUCAUAUUGGGUAUUUUGGACUUAUCGUCCCUUUGCUGCAUAUAUACAGUAGCGGUAGUUAUUCAUUUAUACAUCUUGUUCCUUUAUUUAUCAUUGCUACUGUAUUACCCUUACCCAUAUCUUUAUUUAUCCUUCUUGACUGGUGAGUACUCUCGCCCUCAUCGGCUUGCGGUACCCACUGGGAGGGGAGAUAUGUGUACAUGUUCUCACCUCUCACCCUCCUUUCGGGUGACGUCGCGGGUCCGAGUUGGGACGGUUCGUGAGGUGCGCAGCUUAGCAUUCGAUAGAGCUCUCGGCCCGUCAUCUUGGUUAAACUCUCAAAUUUGUCUUAUAAUAAUUGACUUAGACAGUAAUUAUGGUUCAGUGUUUUACUUUAAUUGGAUAAUUGGGAUUUGGUGAAUAUAAUAAAGAACUUGUGGUUUUUAUGUGAUGAAAAUAAUUUUCUACCCCUCGUGGAACCGUGUUUUAAAAAAAAAAAAAGAUUUCCGUGUGGGAAACGAAUUUAAAAAGGUUUUGCAUGAUUUUCAUGAUUCUUAGUGCUUCAAAAUAAGUUUCCCGGUAGGAAAUAUUUUAAACUAAUAGAUGUGGAUGUGAAUAUCUGUGAUUAAAUGAAUGGUAAUUGUGAUGUGGUUUAUGUAUGUGAAUGUUCAUACAGUUAUGGUCGUAUCUUGUACAUGUGCGACGUCGUGCAAAUACAGGGGAGACUCUGUCCGUGUGAACAAUAGAUUCCCUAUAUUUGUGGCGGAUCUGGCAUACCCUAGGAAUCAAGGUUUUUUUAAAAAAAUUGGGCACUUCCGCAUUGAUUUUUAAAUAAAAAACGAGCAUGAAGUCGCGUAAGCCAACUCUGUAGUGCCGACUUGUGGAGAGCGACCCUCACAAGCUUGUGCGAAUGAGCACAAUGGCAAGCAAACAUGAUCCAUAGUAUAAAGUUCUUGGUCGUAAGGUCUAAAACAUGGUAUGUCCACUAGUGACCCAAAAGUCAGAUUCUAUAUCAUAAUGUUAAGUUCUAGUUAUUUAACUAAGUCAUGUACAACAACAUUAAGUUCAUGCUAGCUACUGUCAUAUCAAUGCCAUAUUCAGCUCGUCUAUACAAGUAUACUAAAUAUCAUGUAAAGUAUGCUACACAAGUAUGCUAAACAAGUUUAAUGAACAACUUUCUCUACUAUAUAGAGGUAUAACUUUGCCAUAUGACAUAUGUAUAUUUAAUACAUCCAAAAAUUCGUUUAUAAUGCAUCUAAGAAUAUGCAUGAAUUCCAAUUUUAUAACAUUAAAGAAGACAAAGGGGGAGUUCACCCAUUUCAGUGAGGUCAAACCCACAGGAUAUGUAAGAUAAUGAAUCCUCGACGCGUGAAACUGAACAUCGGUCAAAGUUGACCAAAGUGCGGAGUUGAUCGCUUCGGGACGCUUAGGAAAAGUCUGAAUGCGUCAAAAUGACUUCUAAGGGUCAAGAGGGGCCUUAGUGAGCAGUUGAGAGACAUUUCUGCAGUUUUUGCAGAAAUGGUGCUCACGGGGUCCGGACCCUGUAGCCGAAAUCAGCCAGUAAGGGCAAUGCACAAAUUAGCUUGUGUGAGGGGUUUUAUGCAAUUGUGUGCAAGUGGGGGCUAUAUGAGUGUGAAUGGCACUCAUCUCUCUCACUUUCCGUCACAUUUACUACCAAAGAGGAAACCCUCUCUCUCUCUCUCUCUCCUAGGGGUGGAUCAAGAGAAGAGGUUGGUGGAGAGUGGUGCAAGGAAGUGAAGCUUCUUCCUUUUCUUCUUCCUUGGCUUAGGAGGAAAACUUGCUUGAGGUGAGCUUCAUAAACCCUAAUGGUAGAUUGUUGGGGUUUGGCUUAAUUACUCUAGAAUUGAUCUAAAUAGGAACCCUAGAUGGUGCUAAGUGGUUUAUUGCUAGAAUCAUGAGUUGGUUUGAUGUAUUCUCGCAAUAGUGAGUUUUAGGAUUUCUAAAUGGGGUUUUGCCAUAUGUUGGGGUUAGAUGUAAAUUAACCUUAUGGAACCCUAAUUGAAGGUGUAACGGACACUGUGGGCAACUUGAAUUGAAGUUCCUACGGACGUGCGGCGAGCUAUCGAAUAAAGUACUGUUUUCAGUUCGUUUGCAUGGGGUUGAGCCGAAUCGUCAUCCAUAAAUCGCGAAACUAGGGUUCUAGCAUCACGGCAUCACCAAAAGGUGGAGGGUGCUAUCCGAAGCAGUUGAACUUCUUUCUAUGUCCAAGUUGUAUUGUUGAUCAUACAUUUCAUAUAUAUAUUGUUAUCAUGCAUUAUAGGAUAUGUUGUGUAGUUGUAUUUCAAUUACUUGCAUGCUUCCAUGGUAGAAAUAACAUUGUGAGUUGAGCACAUGAUUUAGUGGAUGCAUGAGGAUUGGGUUUUGACAUGGAAUCCUAUAGUGCUAAGAACAAAAGAUGAAUUUGAACAAGUAAAUGACAUAGAAGAGUGGCAUUUGGAACUAGUGUAGUAGAAACACUAUGACAUGUUUUGGGAUUAGUGUAGCAGAAGCACUAUGACAUGAACAUAGGGAUAGAAGAUUUCCCGAGUUGUCGAUAUGUGGCAUUUGGAAUUAGUGUAGUAGAAGCACUCUGACCUUGGCAGAAGGGGUAUCCUGCAGUUGAGAGAAAUGGAUCAUACUCACAUGGUCUGUUUUUAGCUUGGCGGUGGUCGCUCCACCCAAGCAGUGAGCUCCGGAGUUGUCACACCAUGGGUUAACGUAAUUACCCAGCAGGCAAUUUCGAGUGUGCGUAGCGCAAAGUCUCCUCACCUAUGGGAUUUGAGAUGUGAGUCGGGACGUAACCUUGGAGAUAGCCAAAACGAUUGGGUGAUAAGCACAGUACCAUGAUAGUAGAUUUCAUUGCUAUGUAGAUACUUCAUUCAUUCAUACCAUGUUGAUUGAGACAUAGUACCAUAAUAGUAGAUUUCAUUGCUAUGUAGAUAUUUUAUUUAUACCAUGUUGUUGAGGCAUAGUAGUAUGAUAGUAGAUUUCAUUACUAUGUUAGCAGAUUUCAUUAUCAUAUUAUAUUUCUACUUAUGCAUGCCUAGACCUAGUGGGAAGAUCGGCGGAGUCGGCGGCCGAACCCACUGGGAACUAUUAUUGGUUCUCAUCCCACUUUGUUGCAGGGCCUAGCUCGAGAGGACCAAGCGAGGAUCGUGGUAAGGGUAUAGCGCCCUAGUUAGUAGCCUUCCUUUAUGCAUUAGAGUACCAUGUACAGUUGAGAGACAUGAUGUAUAUUGGGUGAGGUUACUUUUGGAGAGUUGUACAUGUAUUAUGAGAAGAAUAUGUAAACCAAAUGAUGUAAAUGAUUGAAUGAAAAUGUAAUAACUAGUAUUUCUCUCUUGCUCUUGCUUGUUGUAGACUCGCAUGAUUCAUGUAUGUUGUUUAUGUUUACUCGGGCAACUAAAUGUACAUGAUUGAUGUUGUUUAGCCUUGGGUGGACAGGGGAGGUUCUAUCCGUUCGGCGUCUGUUUGGCGUACCCGAACCGACCAAAUUGGCGGUUGCGGGGCGUAACAGGAUACCCCUUGAACUUCUUCGUUUGCUCGAAAGAAGUUGCCUUCUAGACUCCUAGCAACCUAACAAAAAUUCUAAAUAGGUUAGGAGCUUCUAACAAUCCUCCCACGAAAUUCCUUAACACCCCGUUUGGAUUGGGUACAAGAGGGGGGAUAAGGGGGUUAUCCCCCCUCUUGUACCCAAAUAGGAAAAUUGGGGGGGUGGGAACACUUGUUCCACCCCCCCGAUAUAAGAAAAGAGAGAGAGACAGAUUUUUAUUUUAAAUUUUAAUUUUUAAAAUUUAUAAUUUAUAAUUUUAAAUUAUAAAUUUUAAAGUUUAAAUUUUAAAUUUGAUAUUUUUAAAUUUUAAAUUUUAAAUAUGAUAUUUUUAUCUUUCAAAUUUAAAUUUGGUCCUAAAUUUAAAAUCAGAUAUUUAAAAUUAAAAUUUUGAAAAUUAAAAUUUUAAAUUUAAUUUCAAAUUUUAAAAUGUAAAAGUUAAAAUUUUCAAUUUAAAAUUUUCAGUUUAAAAUUUUAAAUUCAAUUAUAUGAGUAAUAUCAUUAUUUUCUAUUUAUAACUACCAACUAUUCCACCUUAUACUCAUAUUUUCAUCCAAAUACAAUUUUUCUAGUUCCAGCUUAUACUCACAUUUUCAUCCAAACAAAAAAAUACCCAUGUUCCUACAAAAACCCAUACUUGUACCUAUCCCCGGUAUAACUAGUUCUUGCUUAUACCCGAACCAAACGAAGCAUAAAUAUCAACCCAAAAAUAGGUAGAAAAUAUCUUAAAUAGAGGAAAACUUUGUCCAAACUUUAAUUAAGGUUGGGAUGUUUCAAUUCCAACCUAAAGAAGAAUUUAACAACCACCAAUUAGGUUCCAAAAGUCUCAUAACCAGAAAUCCCAAAGUAUAUCUCUUAAUUCCACAAAUUCUCCCAAAUUCACAUUUAAAAGGAGUAAUUAGAUUACUAACCUUCAAUAGAGCUUCAAACCAAGCUAGACUUGAGCUAAGGUUGGAGUUAGAUCCUCAUAAACACUCUCUUCUACAGUUCCAAGAUUCCUCCAAGAAUCACAAGCAAGCUUCCAAGGAAAAGAUAAGAAAAGAUUGAUCAAUUGCUUCAAUUCCACAAGAAUUGAGAGGAAUUCUAAAGAGAGAAAGAGAAGGAGCUCACCUCUUAUCUUCUCUGGUUCCAGCACAAGAAGAAACAGCUGCGGAGGGGCAGUUGAGGAUAAGCACUAAAGCACAAUUACAAAUAGACCCCUCAACAACUCACAAAUAGCAACUACACAAAAUACAAAUUGUAGCAUUGAGUACCGGCAGUCGAAUUGGAGUACCGGUACCCAGUACUCAGUCUAGCAAAACCUGAGCGCUGGACAAUCGAUUUUAUACAGUGUACCGGUAUCAGCCUGAUGCAGCUCAGCCCAGUACCGGUACCCAUCGACUCAGUAUUGGUACUCACUGCCCAACUCCUCAAACCCAAGAGCAGCACAUUCUGGCACUCUAUAGGAUUCCGGUACCCCACUCAGGUACCGGUACUCAACACUUAAAACCUGUAAUUUGCAGAUUUUAGUGUUAGUAUGUAAGGACUGAGAAUUUGGCAGUGUAGCUGACUCUCCGUUGACGAUGUUUUUAUGUGUAUUUUAAUUACAAAACACUCGUCAAGUUUCGAGAAAAAACGAGUUAGAAUGGAGAUUUUAUGUGAUCUUUACUUUUCACUUAAAGUGAAUAGUAACCUGGGUUUACGGAGAGGCCAUUAUGUAGAGAUGGCUUCCGGCGCGUAUCGAACUCCGUUCUUGGUGAUCCAAUAGCUCAUUCUCAAUGGUUCAACUGUCCUGGAACCAUUGGCGCUGACGGAUUUUAGGUUGACGCACGAAUUUCGAGGUAACUGGUUAUACAUAUAUUCUAUAUAUUUGUGUGCGGUUUUGCCUAUUGGAGAGAGGAUGGGUUUCGUCACGAAUCUACAACCAAACCAGGCAAAACAAAAUCGUGGAUUUGUUGUCUUUAUCGUGCUGAUCACACUGGUAUGAUUCGUUCGCAAAUCUGACGGACAUAUCAUCUGAUAUUGCACGUUGAUCGAGAAUGGGUUAUUAACGGCAAAACAGAGAUUUUGCGAAAAGCCCUACAUUUUAUAUACCGUUUUGCGUGAAAUUGGAUAUGGGGUUGUGUUCGCGCGUUUUACUCACGCUGUGAGGGACUCAAAUAAAAAUUUCUAAUUUUGGGGGACUAUUGUGCAUUUUUAUCUUAUGUUUAUAUAGCCCAUCUAGGGUUUGCACCAUGCAAACCCUAACCCUAGUCCCCAGCUGACCCCCAGCCGCUUCUACUACCUCCUCUCUGUGCGCCGCGCGCGCCCCGCGUGCCCCGGCUGCCUGCGCACCCCGCCGGCCACCAAAGAAGGCUUCUCCCUCUUCUCCUCCCUUUCCAUCUCUUUCUCUAUCUUUCUCUCUCUCUCUCUCUCUCUCUUUCUCUCGGGUUGGAGUGGAGGUCCGAGACUGCAUUGCCUCUCUGUUCCCUACCGGCGUCGCCCCGACCCCGUCGAGGCCUUCCCCGGCGGUCGCCGCCACCGCGCUACAGCCACCCUGCGGCCAAAUUGUGCCAACUCGGGCCGAGGGAGCUUCAGCUCCUUUCCCUCGUGCUGCCGCCGCCUAGGGCCGGCCAUGCCGCCUUCCUGCAACCUUCGGUGACCUCCCCCACCGGUCGUCGUCGUUCCUGCUAGCCGCCGCCGCCGCCCUUGACUGCUUGUAGCUGCCCUAGAUCUGCUCGGACCGAGGCCGGGUUCUUUCGCUUCCCUCCCGCCGCCGCCGCCUGAGGCCACCCCUACUGUCUCCCCCGGAGCCCCGGCGACCUCCCCUGCCGGCCGCAGCCGCCUCGAGCGCCGCCUUGCCGUUGCUGCCAAACCGCGGCCAGCCCAGGCUGGUGCGGUCGUGCCCUGCAGUGCCGCCCUCCCCAGCCGCCGGCCGCCGUCCCCGCCCCUUCGAUCCCAGAGAGACCCCGUACUACUCCUCCGUCCACCCCGACCCUCGUUGUGGCCGAAGAAGCUCGCCAAGCCCGAGCUUUUUCCUUGCCGGCUCAGUUGCACCGCCGCCGCCACCACUGUGACAUCCCAAUAGUCCUACAUCAGAUGGGAAUGGGGUUAUUAUUGGAUUUAUAAGAGGACUCCACCCUAGUAAUAAUAACUGGGCUUAAGCAUUUUGGGCUGGUGGUUUGGGCCCAACGAGUUAUUAUUGCUAACAGGUCAAGUUGUUACAUUUGGUAUCAGAGUCAGUUCACUAGCCGGAAGUGUGAGAUGAGUUUUGGCUGAGCUAGCGUCGCAACGACAGACUUAGCCAUGGUCGGUGAUUGACAGCUAAGUUAGGGUCGGAAUGACAAAAGCUAGUGAGAUAAGUCUCACAUCGCCUGGUGAUCUUGGACUGUAUGCGUGUUUAGGGCUGACGGGGACGUCGGGGCCUAAAUAGGGGGAGUAUGUGACACCUUAAUAAUCCCACAUUGGAUAGUUAUGGCUAGAUGUUGGAAUAUAUAGGCUUUGAUUGGGCUAGACAUAAUAACUACGCUUAAGCAUUUUGGGCCGGUGGUUGGGCCCAACAAGUUAUUGUUGCUAGUGGGCUGGGUCAUUACAUUUGGUAUUAAAGCCAGUUCAUCAGCCGGAAGUGUGAGAUGAGUUUUGGUUGAGCCAGUAUCGCAAUGACAGACUUAGCCAGGGUCGGUGAUUGACAGCUAAGUCAAGGUCGGAAUGACAAAGGCUAGCGAGAUAAGUCUCACAUCGCCUGGUGAUCUUGGACUGUCUGUGUUUAGGGCUGACGAGGACGUUAGGCCUAAACAAGGGGAGUUUGUGACAUCUCAAUAGUCCCACAUCGGAUAGGAAUGGGGUUAUCAUUGGGUUUAUAAGAGGACUCCACCCUAGUAAUAAUAAUUGAGCUUAAGCAUUUUGGGCCGGUGGUUUGGGCCCAACGAGUUAUUAUUGCUAACGGGCCGGGUUGUUACAACCACCGCCUUUCGCCGCCGGUCGGCGCGAGCCCCGGUCUCCCCACGUCGGCUGCAGCCGCCUACCGCCGGUGCACUCGCCAUCAAGCCACUGCCAGCCGUGCCCUAGCUCCAACUAUUUUGGUAAGCUUAGUUAGAGUCUUUUGGUUGCUGUUCUGGGUUGUGCAUGCUUUUCCGUCGAUCCGAGGCUGUCCCAAUGCCUCCGAAGGUGAGCACGGUGAUCGCUGGUCAGUGCUGAUCACAGUGCUCACCUCACUUUGGAUCAACGAUUUCCGAAUCGACUUUUUCGGCGUAGUUUUCCCGGAGUGCACACAGUUCGCAAAAUUUGGGUCGCUCCCGUGCCUCUCACAGUGAGACGUUGUGCUCCGGAUUGUGAGCACGGCCUCUAGCACGCCGAGACCUGUCAGUACGUGUAACAUAUCGAAAUAUCGGUACGCGAAUGUCGAACUUUAGUCAAAAUAACGAAAAUGCUGAAGGCAUCAAGAAGAGCAAAAGUGCCUUAUAAGAGGUCUUCGAGAGCAAGCUGGAGCAAGUCUGCAAGACUGCAGCCUUGGUGCUCUAGGGGACCGAUCCCUAAGUUAAAUGACCAAUCCCCGUACGUGUGAAAAAUGGGCAAAGGCCCAUUCUGUGCUGGAUUGCUCUCGGGGACCGGUCUCUCGAGCAAGGACCGGUCCCCGUAGCUGGUGUUUGCGCAGGUGCCCAAUGCAACCGGUCCCUAGGCGGGAGGGACCGGUUCCCGUAAGUGUAUCUAGCUGAAGGCUCUCGGGGACCGGUCCCUCAUCGGGAGGACCGAUCCCUCUGCGCGAAAAGUGCCCAAGCAGGGCAGUGUGAGAGACAAUAAGUUGGGGGGCUUAGUUGUAAUUGUUACAAUAUGUUAUUAGCCUAGCCCUUCUCCCUUUCACAGCCAUCACCUAUUUUCUCAUUUUUCUCUUAUUUCUCUCUCUCUCUCUAGAAGGAGAAGAAGAAGAAGGAAGAAGAAGAAGGAGAAGAAGAAGUAGAAGCUUGGAGAGGUGGGUUUUGGUGGCUUUGGUAGUUCUUAGAGCUCUCCUACAAGAAGGAUCUUGGGAUAGCUCUUGGCCAAGGUGAGUUUCUUGCAAGUAGAACUCUAGGGUUUGAUUUAAAACCUUAGGUUUUGGGGUUUUGGUCUCUUUAGAGGCUUUAGAGGUGUAAUAGAGCCUUGAACACCAUGAAAACAUGGUUUUCUCAAGGUGCUCUUAUGGUGGAUUGUUAGAAUCCAAAGUUGAUGCCCUAGGAAUGGUCUAAAUAGUUUGGAAACAAGAUUAGAGAGCUUCCUAGGUGAUUCUAAGCUAUCUUUUGCUUAGGGAUAAGAUCAAUCUAGGAGAAAAUUGAAUAUGGCAUUGUUAGGGCAUGGAAAUUGAGGCUUUUGCCCUAUAAUUUUUCUAAGGCAAAUUGACCUUUUGGAAACUUAAUUGGGGGUAGUCCCGAUGCGUUGGACAAUUCCGUUUGACGUUACGAAAAUGUCUAAAUAUAGUUUGUGUAUAUAGGGCCUAAUUUGACACUAUUUUGGUUAUAGGAUGCGGAUUCGGCGUUCGUAAAGUUCGGGAGUCAUCACAUUCCUUAUCUACUACCACUCAAGGUGGGAGGUGCACGCUGGAAUCGUUGGAUUCCCUUCUAUGUCCAUUUUCACCUUUGUUGAGCAUAUUUAUAUAUAGAUUCAUUCAUGCAUGUAGGGUAAUUUUACAUGUGAAACUUGAUUAGACAUCAUUGCAUGCUCCUAAUGUAGUUGGACAUAGAGAAUGAUAGAAUCAUAAUGGACAUGUAUGUUGAGACCCUAAACUUGCAUGAAUGUGAGACUUGGACUUGGACAAUAGUAAAUAAAGGUGAUAUUGACAUUAGAGAUAUGAUUGGCAUCGAGAGAUGAAUUGUUAAACAUAGUUUAACCAAAUAUAGCAUUAUAGCAAGAAUGACCUAGAGAGUGGCAUGAAUAAAUAGGUAGAAACCUAUUAUGAUAGUGGCAUUGUGGCUAGUGGCUAUACAUUCCCUAAGUGGGGAUUGGAUCGAUACUCACGAUAAGUCUUGGCUUGAGGGUGGUAGCUCCCCCUCAAGCGGUGUGUUACAGAAUAGUCACCACGGGGAGCGCGUCCCCGAAGACGGUCCCUCGGGUCUUGUAGUGCUUAGAGCCUCCCCGAUUAAAAGGGAUUUUGGGUUGUGAGUUAUUGGGGUUAACAAGGUUAACCGGUAAGAUUGGGUAAAAGCCAAAGUAAAAUCAUGGAAAGGCAUGCAUGCAUAUUCAAUAUUGCUUCGAUUAUAUAUCCACUGACAUCUUUCUUGCAGGCAUACUAUUAGCAUUAGCAUUGAUUAUAAUUUCCUUUUCUUUGAAAUACUUAUGCCUGAAAUAGACCUAGUGGGUAAGUCGGCGAGGUCGGAUGCCGAACUCACUGGGAACUUCGUUGUAGUUCUCACACCACUAACCCUACAGGUCCGAGUGCAAGCGAGGCGGCGGAGGACUGAGGCAAGGGUAUCACGCCAUAGUUAGUGGCCGCCGGAGUUUAUGCAUUUAGUCAUUCCCUUUUGUUUACGUGUAUUAACUUUCUUUUGUUGAUUUAUAGAUGUAAAAGUUGAAAACAAUUCAUGUAUUUUGGAGAAUGAUUAAGAUGUAAAUGGAAUUAUGUUGAAUGGAAAAAGAAUGUAAUAGUUGUAGCUCACUUGUAUUUGGUUUAAAUUUAAUCAAAUAUCAUGUAUUGUUGUAUGCUUAGUUUAGAGCUUUCGCUUUCGUUUUUGUUUGCCCUCGUGCAAGCCUUGUAUAAUUGCAUAUCUCUUUGUUGAUUGCUUAAUUAUACUUGUUGUUGGAGCCUUGGGCGGACGGGGGAGAUGCUGUCCGUUCGGCGUCUGUUGACGUGACCCGAACCCGACCAAAUUGGCGGGGAUUGGGGCGUGACAGUAUGUGUUUCAGCUGACCUCGGAAAUCCUCGGUUUGCAGUAACGAGCCAUAAAACCACCCUAUUUAUAUAAAAUAAUAGGAUUUUAUGUAAAUAUAGGGACUUUAUAUAAUUUUGCAUCUUAUGGCUACUAUAGGCAGUAUGUUUAUGUGGUAGGUGACCUUUGGACUAAUCGUCCAAGGUCCAAUAGCCUUCGCAAAAUCGAAUGUCGAUUUCGGUGCGUUUUUCGGCGAAUUUCGCUGGCGAAAUGGGAUUUCUGUUCGGACUUCAUCCGAUGAUGUUUGUUGCCCUGAGUUGUGCUGCUGAGCCUUGUCAUCUAGUCACCAUCAUCAUAUCGUGAGUUCGGAGAUGAUGGAUGAGCGACGGUGAGUUCCGAUGUCGAAAUUGACACUUCCGGGAAUCCGGAUUCAAAUACUUAUCCGGCGAUAAUUGUUUGGUUGUGCAAUCUUGUGUUUGCUGCCAAGACAUCCAAAUUGAUGUGUUUUGUGGCAGCGGGUGACUCGUGACAUGAGUCGGUGAGUUUCGGGACACUUAGUAGGUCCUGACGGAGUCCAGGUGUGAUUUUCUGGACUUCCGGCGAGUUACGGUGAUCAAUUUUAGGAAACCAAUUUCGAGAAUUUGUGUGGGGUUUGUGAGUUAGGUAUUUUGGAUUGGUGGUUGGUUACUGACACGGUAGAUCUUCGUAGGUCCGGUUAACUUGUUGUGCACCCAAGUUUCCUACGUGAUUGUGACAGGUGAGUGCUUCGAGAUGAUAGUCGGCGAGAUUGUUUCGUUUUCCUCUAUUCUUCUAUAUCAGUAUCAUAGUCUCUACAUGUCAGUUGCUUUUGUUUAUCGUUCGUUCAUCUAUAUCUCGUUGCUUGCAUGAUGAUAAUUGUUGAUAGACAUGUAGAGUAGGCUUGCAUACAUAGUAUAUCUGUGGACCUUGGGUCCAGGCAACACAUUGACUCUCUCGUCAUGUGUUUUGAUCUAGUUGAUCGUGGUUCGGCGUUGUACGCCUUUGUAUCUAGCUUCGGCCAAGGCAUCGGCUUUCGGCCGGUUUUCUUAUUGAGCAUAUCAGCAUGAUUUACUCACAGCACUUAGGUGUAUUCAUUAACACCAGGUCGGUUUGGCCGCCGACCAGGGGUGUACUUAUCCGGAUGCAUCGUUGAAUGGACGCAUGAAUUAGGUCGUUGUAUGUAAUGUGACAGGCAACGCUUGAGGUCUGCAGAUUAUGGCAGGCACUAGUUGGGUACAGUUUUGGGUUUGAUUACCUUGAGGCAUGCUCAGUAUUGUAUUCUUACAGUAGCAGUUCUUAUUAUUUGCUCUCUAUUAUAUUUGUUGUUAUAGCUACUUUAGUUGCUUUUUAUAUCUUUACACAUAUAUCAGUCUGUUCUAUACUCUUUGUUUUUCAGUAAAUAUGAUUUGCUUUCGUGGCUUUGACGUGCCCACUGGAAAAUCUUGAUUGUGGUUUCCUACCCUCCAUUUUUCCAGGUGGCUCGGGUAAGGAGUUGGCUUUUGGCGUGCCGAGAGGAUGUUCUAGCUAGACUGUAGUAGCGACCGUUACCCUUGUUAUGUUUAUUUUUCGUUUUUAGUAAUUUAAAUAAUUAAAUGGUUCAGUUAGAUGAUUAUUAUUACUGUUUGAGUAUUUGUGAACCUGUUUGAGUUGGUGAUUUCCUAUUAUGCAUGUGUUGGUAGCCGAAAUCUCUAAUCCCUGACCCGGUCAAAGAUCCUCCUCGGGGAGUGCGUCGGGAUGCGAAACGGCUGUGAAUAGUGACCCUCGAAGUUUGCGCCCUUCGAUUGAUCAAGCGAUUCGGCUGACGAGGGAUCAGUCAGCCGGGUUCGAAACCUCUACAGCAAAUUCAGUUCGGUUGGAUGAGCCGAAUGAACAAAAAAAGUCAGAAUUUUAGCCAAGGAAUGAGCCGAAUGGCUAAUACAGCACAGGAACUGGUCGGCCUGAAGAGCCGAACACUGCCUUCUAUUGAAAGAGAACGGAGAAAGUACAGGAAAGAGAGUUUUAGUCUACAGCGGAGUGAUGCCCAAAGGGCAGACAAACUCCAGGAUGCUAAGUUACAGGAACUACUCCUAGAGAAAGCAGUAAAUGCGAGAAAGAAAGAAGUAGGGAAAAUAAGGUUGGUCUUUUGUAUGCAGGGGCCAAGACCCUUUUUUCAGGGUACUAUAUGCCUAUUUAUAGAGUUGCCCCUGCAUUGGUUAUUGCCCUCGCACGAUCAGCCACUAUCUCCUCGUUUGUAGGACCACCUUCGGCCGAUCGGAAUCGCUCGUAACCGCUUGCGGUUGCUAUAACUCUUUGAUCCAGCGCAGCUCAUGUAUCUUCUGGUGCGUCUGAGUACUCCCGGUCCACCGUUUUAACCGUAUUAUGGAUAUGGACCCGGUGUGCCAGCUGUUCGCGCCGAAUUGGCUCAACAGCAUGCAAAUGAAAUUUUAUAAAUAAUUGGUUCUUGGAUUUAUAUAUUUAUAAAUCGUGGUUUUCUACCUCUCGAGGUAGCCGGUUUUCAAAAUGAAGUUUCUGAGUCGGAAACAGUUUUAAAAGGUUUUCGAAUGAUUUUUAUGAAUGAUUAAAUAAAGUUUAAAAACAAAGCUUACGGGUGGGGAGCACUUUUAAUUAGGAUAACUAUUGUAUUGCGCAUCGCAUCAUCUUGCGCCUAAGGAGUGUUUAGAGGCAUGCAUCAUUCCUAAGGAUCACUGGCUGUAUGGAAAUACAUCACAUGAAUUAUUUUGUGGAUUGGUGAAUGUAUGUUGUUGUUGUAAUUCUGAUGUUGUUGUUGGUACUUCGUGCAAAUAUAAAGGAGACUCUAUGCGUGUGGUCAGAGAAACUUUGUAUUUGUGGCGAGUCUGUACGUCACGUGGGCCAGGUUGAAUUAUAAAAAAAGAAGGGCACGUUUUCUACAACUCUGGUUUCUAAAAUAGUAAUUGUUAUAAAAAGAUUUUAAAAUCGGCCCCGGGGCGUGACAUAGUAGCCCGUUCUCGUACUCAUAGAACUUAAGUAAAGGAUCGAUACACUACCACUGAUCCUCAAUAGUAUUAAUCCAAAUGUUAGAAAUGAUCAAAGGGGCUGAUCUAAGGGCCAAAAAGUUGGAAGCAUCCGAUCCUCUAUGCUUCCGAUAGCAUAGUAGCUCUACUCUAAAUUUAAUAUAUUUUUUAAUUUAUUUAUAUCUAUACUAUAUAUAUAAAAGCGCAUAAAAAAUCUUACAAUGUCAGACAGAAUUAAAAAAGGAAUACGAAAAUAUUCUCUACGAACGAUUAUGAUCAGAUUGAUCAGAAUUUGCAAAAUAUAUAAAACUAUUCAAUAUAUAUCUAAACUAUAUAUGAAAGUGUUUAAAAAAUCUUACAAUGAUAGAUAAAAUUAAAAAAGAAUAAAAGAAUAUUCCUUUUGUAUUAAAUCUCGGUAUUUAAUAAAAAAAUUUUAAUUUAAGGAUAAGAUUAAAUAACAAUGUUUAAAAGGUAAGGUUAUCUUAAUACUAUCUAUUAAUAUUUAGUUUUUAUAUUAACUUUUUAUUGAUUGCAACCGACAAACAAAUUUGAAAUUUAAUUUCAGAUAUAUAUUUAAAUUUUAUUAUUAUAUAAUUUAAAUUUAUAUUUAUGAAUUUUUAAAUUAAAAUUAAAAUUAAAAUUUGAGUUUAAAUCAUUUAACUAAAGUGGAUCGAAGACAAAUUUUAAAUUUUGAAUUAAAUGUGAAUUAAAAUUGGCCAAUUUGCAUAAAAAAUCCACUUAUUUUGGGCUUUUGCAAAAUCGGGUCACCUUUUUCGUUUUUGCAGAUUCGGUCCGUUUUUUCAGCAAACUGACCAAAAUACCCUUAUUACUUUUUCUCUUUCCUUUUUCUCUCUCCUCUUCGUUCUCUCGUUCUUUUAAUUUUUUUUCCGCCGGAAAAAAAAAAAGCGGAGGUCAGGCGGAGGAAUUUUUUCUUCCCUUUUUCUUUUUCUUCUUCUUCCUCCUGCUAGAACACCUUUUUUUUUUCCUUCUUCUUCUUCUUCUCCUUCUUCUUCCUUUAAGAGCAC
rnacentral:lncRNA from 1 species